AAAAAUGGGAUUGAGAUCACAAGGCACAAUUGCUUCACCCUCGUUGGGAGGCUGGUGGGGGUCAAUGCGGUGCACAAGUCCAUGUCCACUAAAGUGGAAAAGCAGGACAUCUCCUUCUUUAGCCGCGACCACCAUCUUCUUGAGUGCAGCCAUAAUGUUUGCACGUGUAGGCUUACACGUGGACUCUGGCUCAUCAGUUAGGAGCUCAACAUUUUCGGAAUCAAAGCCAAACCUGCUCACGAUCAUUUCUCUCAUGGCUUUCGCAUCGUUUACGCAUCCGCUCAACUUGUUGAUGGUGUUGGGGUAGUUGCAUCCGACCAGAACGGCUCUCUUCUUACAUUCGGUGGCCAUCUUGCUUCUGUUUUGGGUCGCUUGUCUUGUCUUGUGCUUCGGACGUUGCACUAAACACCUAUAUAUAUGCACACAUACACACUGUAGUUUACACUAUGCUCACUGACCAUACUCUAAUAAAUAAUACAUCAUGUUGGUAGGUACAACUGUUUUCUUUUAUUUUUUGUUUAGAAAAAAAAAAGGGCUUUUUUUAUAAAAACAACCCAAAAAUAAUUAAUUACUUAAAUGACUUAUUUUUUUGAUAAAAUACGAAAAUAACCUGAAAUCUAUGGAAAAAGUUGGUGGAGCCAAAGUGUGCCACCAACAUGCCACGUCAGCAAUUUAUAUUAAAAAAUUAAUUUUUUAGUAGAGCCGCCACUUGUAUAAAUACUACGGAAAUAUUAUGAUUUUUUUUCUUUUUAAGUUUUUUUUUUAUUUGUCCCUUAUAUAUUUUAUUUAUUUGUUUAUUAUUGAUUUUAUAAAAUCUCAAAUGUAUAUUUUAAAUGUUUUAUAAUAUUAUUUUUUAAAUAUUUUAAAUAUAUUUUUCUAAAUUUAAAUAUUAUUUUUUAAUUUUUAAAUAUUAUUUUUUAAUAUUAUAAAAUAUUUAAAAUAUAUUAUUUUUAAAAUUAUGAGCUUUCAAAUUUAUUAUUUGUUUUAUAAUAUUUUAAAUAUAUAUUUAAAAAUUUUUAAAUAUAUUUUUUAAAAUUUUACAUAUAUAUUUUUAAAUUAUUUUUAAAGAUAUUCAAACAUUUUUUUUAAUUCUAUUUAAAAUUUAAAAAAUAAUAUGUGUUUUUAGAAUGGCUUCACCACUUUAUUACAAGUGUCAUUUUUUAAAAAUAUGUUUUUUAAAUAUAAAUAUUUAAUAUUUAAUAUUUUAUUUUGGUGGAGCCAUUCUUUAUGGCUCCACCUCUUGGUUCUCUAGCAUAUAUAGAAUGGUGAAAUUGUUGUGUUUAGUAGGAGAGUUCAAAAAUUCUGUUAAAGAUGAAUAAUGAGGUGUUUUGGUUUACGUUCUCUUUUAUGGCGAAAUUGUAGAAGGUGAUGUUGGUUGUGUAUUUCAAUGUCGGCAAAGAGUAGGGUUGCGAUUCAAAAAACUGUAAAGCUGGCAGAAAUGAAAAGGAAGAUUAGUGCAAAAAUAGCUAUUUGUUGUGGAAGGGCAAUGUCCAGAUUAUUUUACAAGUUUCCAAUCUCUACAGAUCUGUUCAAAUUUUGUGAGAUGCAACUGUUAGAUGAUGAUGACUUGGGCACUAUGAUGGAAAUAUGGUGGUCGACUGGAAGUGAGAAUCCCCAACCAGUUGAGUUAUUUACUGAGUUAGCAAACUCAGAGCCUGUUGAAAAUGUUAGUCCAAUAAGUCAACAUCGCGAAUUUGACUUUGGUCGUAAUGCCAGAUGGACAGACUAGUUAGAAUGCGGUGGGACAUUGCAGAUACCCGAAAAUCCAAAUUAUGGUGGGAGUUCGUAUAACAACCCUACCCCCGGUCCCUGUCUACAAAUACAUUCGGAGGUGAUAAUAAGCACAGAGGCAGAUAUCAAAGAAAUGACCAAUAAUGAUGAAGAUUCUGAUCAGGACGUUUACGAUUUUAGCGACCUCGAUGUUGAUAAGGUUCCGGACGAUAUCGUUGAUGAAGGCCCGGAGGAGGUGGAAGACGUUCACUGCCCUUCAUUCAAUAACCCGAGUCGUGGCAUUAUUUUACGAAAUGAACCUGGAGGUGACCUGUUGAAUCUAGAUCCAGAUGCAGUGCAUGCAUCCGAGUUCCCUGAGUACACUGAUAUAGUACAUGCUCAUAGAUUGACGUCAAUUUCGUAGUUGGAGGAGUUGUUCAUUGGGUAAUGGUUCGAGAACAAGGCGGGCUGUGUGUUUGCCAUCAAACAUUAAUUAUAGCAUGAAGUUAUCGAUUGAUUACAAGGUUGCCAAGUCUACACCGACAUUAUAUGUUAAGAAAUGCUGGAGAGCCGACGAUGGGUGUGCUUGACGGGUUCGGGUUGCAUUUAUACAGAAGACUCAAUAGUGGCAAAUACGAAAAUUAGAAUGGUGUCAUACAUGCACUGUCGUGCGUAUUCUCAAGAUCCCCAAAAAUUGGAUGCCAAAAUUAUUUGCAACUGCAUCAUGUCACUAAUGAAAGAUAGUCCAAUCAUUCUUGUGUCGACAUAUCAAAUGGAUCGGCACAUCAGGAGGAUCAGCAGCUGGAUCAAACAUGGAAUGAGGCGGAGUGUAUAAAUGUUAUUACCAAACAUAUCAAAUGAUAUCGGUGGUUGCUCUGGGUAAUAUGAACUCGAACCGCCCAUGUCCAGGUGAUAUGAACUGCUCUGUGACUCUUCACAAAAAGCAUCAACCUAUUGGUACGAUAUGUUUAAAGGUUGGUCCUCCGAGUCGGGCUCCGCCAUAUGUUGAUCCUCUAGCUCCCCCAUAGGUUGACUUACAUAUCUAUAGCUGUGUCCGGUACUAUUAUAUGUUGCCCACCAUAUAACUAAAUACGCCAUCGAGUCAUGUACCACUACAUGUAUUCAGUCAAAGGACUGAAGUCAAACAUGCAGAAGUGCAUCUCAGGCCGCUUGUUGUAUCGGGCAUUCCAUAGUGCUACAUGUAUCUAUUCUGCUUAUCUGAUUCUGAUAAUUGCAUCUACUAUGGACUUAGGUCUGAAUCUAUAUUUGACUGUAUAUGAGAUUUUGUGUAUGUACUGCAUGUCUAUUUCUGUUGGGUUAAACACUAAGUUUGCGAAAAUUCAGUUCUACUUGUCUGUUAUGUUCAGGUAAUCCACAGUCUUAGGCAAAUCGGUGCGGCAGAGUUUCACGGUAACCACAAGUUUGUGAACUAAUUUUAAUUGGUGGUUUUUGUUUAGUUAUGGAUUAUUUCUGGGAGUUUUGUAAUUAAGGGACUCUCCGGACUGUUUGGUUUUAUUUUAGAUUUGGAUUUUCGAAUUAACUCUUCAUUUGUGACGGUUGGCUAAAACCGUGGUUUUUACUAAACAAAGGUUUUUUUGAAAAUGCAAACGGGAUUUUCAAAUAUAACGAUUUCUAAUAUUUCUGCUCAAAAUUAUGUUUUGGAAUAUGAAUUAAUUAAAUAAUGUUUUCAGUAUUAUUUAUAAAACUUGGUUGAUUUAUCGAAAUGGUUCUGAUUUCAAAACCCUUCAUCGCAGCAUUACCAAAUUUGGCGAUAAUGUCUAUGCUGGGUUUGAGGUGUUACACAAAUUGUCACAUAACUCGAUCGGUAUUGUACCACACAAUGGUUGAGAAGUUGAGCACUGGCAUGUUAAUACACCACACAUGGGCUUCUACGUGAACCCACUAAGGAAUAAGGGUUGCAAUGUUCGGUGCUGAAUACAACAUCCACAAGAACUGCACAAUAUAACAUAAUGAGUCAAGUCACAUCACAUACUGCAAGUGGAUAAGUUAAAUCAACGUUACUUAAACCAUGUUAAUAUGUAUUACUUUCUUUCCGACGGAUGCCUCUAUCAUUUGUUGGUAAAUGAUUAAUGUUUAGGUCGCACCAAUUCGCGGAGACGUGGCCCAUCUAAAACCGAAACAAACAUGUUAGCAAUUAAAUGUUAAGUAUAAUUUUGUUUUUACCUAUUUACAAGUGGCGACGAAUAUGGUUGGUGCCUAACAACCACUAGAAAUGGCAUCCUGUAUAGAGCCCAAGAUUGCAGCAGAUUUAGUCAACCAGCCAUGUUACUAACCCCAUGUUUUGUUGCUCGGCAAAGCUCAUGGUACAAUUUGGCCAACACUGCCGAUCCCCAGCUGUAAUUAUCGACACGAGAGAAGUCCUCACAUAGAGGCAAGUACUUUAAGUGGACCUUAUUAGACGUGUUGUUCGACAUAAGUACCCCCGAUUAGCUGCAUAAUAUAGGCACUAAACUAAAAUUAAACUAAGGAAGUUUACACCAUUCCGUAUAUUUUUGUACGAUUAAUAUUUUAGCGAUAAAAACACCAUAUUUCAUAUUUCAUGUUUUAUGUAAAAUACUUUUAAUCUUUGAAUGAAUGUUAAUACAUACAACAUUUUAGAUCGAUAGAUAAAAAUAUAGAAUCAAUUGAGAAUAUACAAUAAUAUCACCAAAUUCAAUGAUUGGAUUGUUAAGUUAAGAAUCAUGCAAAAAUAUAGGAAAUCGUGUAAAAUUACUUUAGUUUCGCACUAGUAUAAGUGAAUUCUUUUUUUUAAUAUAUAAAAUUAAUUAUAUAAUUUAAAUUUAUGUAGUUAACAUUAUUUAUAAAUAUAUUUCAUUAUUUAUAAAUAUAUUAUUUGAAAGUAAUGAAAUAAAAUAAAUAUUAUAAAUAAAAUUAUUAAAAAAUAGUAUCUAUUAUUGAAUUAAAUUAACCAUUCUUUAAAAAAAGAGUGAAAAUUAUUUUUUUAAAAUGCAUAGGGUUUUAUUUUUUAAAAAAAAUUAAGAUUUAGGUGUAAAAGAUAAUCAUAAAGUGCAUAGGGCUUUAUUUUUUAUUUUUUAAAUAAUAUUGUUUUUGGCUCACAUGCAGUUUAUUGAGUUAGGUUAAGUAUACCUAACUCAAAAUUUAUAAAAAUGAUAAAAGGCAUGUGAUUUAGUAAUACAAAUAUUUUAUUCUUAAUUUUAAUUCAAUUUUUUUAUUUAAAACAGUAAAGGAUGUAGAUACCUUUAUAAAUUUGCACCUUUUAUUUUAUAGUUCAGUCAUUUCUUAAUUUCAUUUAGAGAUUUAUUGUAUACAGUGACGGAGCAUAGUGGAGAUCCAGGUAGCAUGGCAUCCCUUAAAAUGGUAAAUUUUUUAUUCAAGCCCUUUAUAAUUUAUAAAAUAUUAAAUUAGUAAUGGUAAAAUUGUACUUUAACCCUCCAAAGAUGAUAAAAUUUUGAUUUAACCCUUUAAAAAUUACAAAUUACAAUUUAAUUCCAACCCAAAAAAAUUUAGGCUCCGCCACUUAAAUAAUUAUAUCAAAUUCGAUAAAAAUUUUAAACUUCACAGGUAGAAUUGAAAAAAUAUGUGCUUUAUUUAAUAAUAAUACUUUUGAAUGGGUUGAAUUUGGUUGAAUUGGCAAGAGAUAAGGUGUGGAUAAAAUAAUAAAUUUAGUAGAUUAUAUGCAGAACUUGGUCAUAUCAGACUCAGUGCCAUGAACUUCACUAGCAAGCUUGCUAACACAGCUGCAGCAUAAGCUAUUAACUGCUUAAUCACUAUUUUUAUUGCAACACUCAAAGAUGAAGAAGAAGAUUCUAUAUUUAAUUUCUUAAUGUUAACCUUGCAUUUGCAUUUCCUUGAUGGCGCUUCUAUACCAAUUUUCAAGGAGAAUAAAACAAAAUAAUAAUAACUUUUUAGUUAAUUUGAUGGCAUAAUUGGUAAGGUUUUUUUUUUAUUUUUUUAUUUGGGGUCGAUUUUGCAACGAUAUAUACAGGUAGGUAGGCACAUUUUAUUCUGUUGAAUAACUAGUUAUAUGGUAUAAGAUUGUUACCUAAUUGAUUAUUAAUGUCUUAAAAACAAUUCCCCUUUAGAAAAAUAUUUAUUGGAAUUUAUUAUUUUGAAAACUAAAAAAUUUAAUCAUCUUGCUUCAAUGAAGAAAUCGAAACCCCAUAAGUUAGGGUAUGAUUCUUUGAAGUUCCGAUAACAACAUGAAUUUGCCUUUAUUAGAAAACUUCAUCUCGAGAUAAUAAAAUGUCAUAUCCAAUUAUUUAGGACCCAACGUUUUGAAUCCUCGAGAUAAGCUUUAAUUUUGGAAUUUUUACGUUCUUCGGAAAAAAGGAUACAGGGUUACCUAAAUUCAUCGAGGAAAAUUAAAACCCAGUAAGUUAGGGCACAAUCUUCUCGAGAAUCUUGGAUACCGAGUAUUGUGUUAUUUUGAAAACCUUUGAAUAAAACAAUUUAAUUACUUUAAUUAAGCGUAAUCCUUUAAGAAAAAAACGAUGGAAUGAUAAUGUAUAACGCGAAAGGAUAAUUCGUACACUAAAGUGCAUGCUAAUGAGCGACAAAUAAAUACAAAUAAGCAAUACAAUACACAUGAGAGCAAUCAUCUUUAUACAAAUACUAACUUUAAAAGCUAAUGAAUCAAAAGUCCAUUUUGAAAGAAAUACGAAGCAAAUUAACACAAAUAAAAUGUAACAAAUUUUAAAACAACUAAAAAAACAAAUGACAUGAAAGAAGGGGAAUUAUAUAAAUUUAAAAUAAUAUAUACAUAUAUCAAAGUUUGAAAUAAAUCAAAAACAUAGUUCAAAAUAAAUACUACAUAAAAUAAUAGUAUCCAAAUAAAUUUUAAAAUAAAUAUUAUAUAAGAAGAAAAUCAAAACACACAAAAUAAUAUACAUAUAUUAAUUUAAAAAAGUAAUACAUAUGGAAUGAAAAACUUCAUAAUAUAUAUAAUAAAUUUAAAAAUAAUAAUAAUGCAUGAAGAGCUUAGAAAAAUAAUACAUAUAAAAUUAAAAUAAUAAUAUACAAUAAAUUUAAACAAUGUUAAUAAUAAAUAUAAAUAAUUUUAAUUUUAAAAUUAAAUACAUUAAAAAUAAGGGAAUAAUAGAUGCUUAAAUAAAAUUUUAAAAAAAUCAAGCACAUUAAAUUAGUAGGGAUUAAAUUGAACUCAAAAUAGAAUUAAAAGGGAAAAAAAUAAAACAAAAUGAAGGGCCAGAGCAUAACGCGCGAAUAAUAUGAGGGCCAAACGGGAAAUAUUGCCUUCCCUCAAAACGUUGCAUUUUGAUGUGGACCAAAAUGAUACAAAAAGAAAAUGUCAGGCAAAAUUUAAAAACCAUUAAAGAAUUUAUUUGAAUACGUUAUAAAAGUGGGGGACCAUUUGCACAAAUUCCCCAUGCGCUACAAAAUGCGCGGAUCUUUCCCCGGGUCGGGUCACUACGCAGGUAUACAUGGCGGUAUGGCGUCGUUUUGGAGUCAUUAAAAUAGGCCCCAAACGGCGCCGUUUCUUUUAUCAUAUACAAACCAAUUUUAACCCUAAAAUUAGUAGCCAUUUAUGAUUUAAAAAUCAAUCCCUAAAAAAAAUUGUCUCACCCUCUCCGAGCGCCGUUCAACAAUUAGGCCGUUCAAAGGCCUUCCGCCCUUCGCCCGCCUCCGAUUGCGAUGUAGCGAACAAAGGUUCGACUACCAGGUAACCGACUCUUAACUAUUUCUUUUUUCUUCAUUCACGAUAAAUAAAUAAAAAGAUUCAAGAACAGAAAAAAAUUAUCGAGAGAGGAAAAAAAAUGAAAUCACCUCUGGAUUUCUGUCUUUUAGCAAUUUUUAUUUCUUUUCGUAUCCUCCAUUUGCAAAUUUUCAAUGGCUUUUGUAGCCAAAAUGAAACAAGAAAAUAAAAUAAAAAGAAAUCUAUUCUGUCAUCUGAUGGCCUUUAUUUGCGAUUUUUUAUUUUCUUACUAUUUUUUCCUACCUCUGCUGUUUGUUCCCAUUUUUGUUGUGCAGGUACAACCUCGGAGGGGCGCACGUGCGCGGAGGCGCAACAUGCGCGGGGGGCCUAGGUUCGGCUGCGGCGCAAAGGCAGAAAGCUACUAUUGCUGCUAAGGUUUCUGUUUCGUGGUCUAGGGCUAGGCAUUGGGCCUCUGUAAUUGGGCAACUAUUUAUUUGGUUAAGGAUUUAGAUUGGGUCUUAGUGUAUUUUGUAAUCGGGAUUGGGUUUGGGCUGGCAAUUGGACUGUAUUUGAACUUUGAAUUUUUAUUUGGUAUUUGGUUUUAUUUAUUUACAUAGGGGCCAGGUAAAUUGGGCCAAUUAUAGCUGCCCCUCUUUGUUCGUUGUCGUGUAACGGGAACGGAGCAAAGAAUUUAGAAAUGGCCAAUUUUUAUUUCUUUUCGUACCCCCCAUUUACAAAUUUUCAAUGGCUUUUUAUAGCCAAAAUGAAACAAGAAAAUAACAUAAAAAGAAAUCUAUUCUGUUAUCUGAUGGCCUUGUUUUGCGAUUUUUUAUUUUCUUACUAUUUUUUUCCUACCUAUGCUGUUUGUUGCCAUUUUUGUUGUGCAAGUACAAGUUCGGAGGGGCGCACGUGCGGGGGGCCUGGGUUCGGCUACGACGCAAAGGCAAAAAGCAUCUAUUGCUGCUAAGGUUUUGUCUCGUGGUCUUGGGCUAGGUAUUGGGCCUCUGUAAUUGAGCCACUGUUUAUUAGGUUAGGGAUUUAGAUUGGGUCUUAGUGUAUUUUGAAAUCGGGUUUGGGUUUGGGCUAGCAAUUGGACUGUAUUUGGACUUUGAAUUUUUAUUUGGUAUUUGGUUUUAUUUAUUUACAUACGAGCUGGGCAAAUUGGGACAAUUAGAACGUGUUAAGAACUUUCUUAAUGAACAAAGUAAUGCUAUAUUGAUCAAGAAAACAGGUGAUUUCCCUUCCUCUACCAUUUCACAAUAAUAGAGUACUUGAGUUAGCUAUUAUUUAUAAUUGCUGCUAACAAAUUAAUAGAUUGAUGAGAAUAAAAAAAACUAAAUGUUGCCUAUCAAUACUAACAGCUAUUAUUUUAUAUUUUAACAUUAACCUAUCUUUCCGACGGGUAACACCUGAAGAAGACUUCGAAACCGAGCGAAAGAAGAAACAGAUAAAGGCUUAGUAAGAAUGUCAAAAAUUUGAUCACACGCAAGUAUUUCACCCACAACUAAAGACCCAGCAGCAGCUCUUUCACAAAUAAAGAACAAAUCAAGCUCCACGUGUUUAAACUUAGAAUGUAAAACCAGAUUCAUAGCAACUGCAACUGCACUUGAGUUGUCAUACCAUAUAGUAAGGAAAUCAUUAGACUGAAGUUCUAAUUCUUUUAGUAAUGAAGUCAGCAAAAGAACAUCACUCGUUACUGCAGUAAGACUCCGAUAUUUAGCUUCGACUGUGGAAUGAGACACAACUUGUUAUUUCUUUGAACACUAUGACACUAAGUUGUGACCAAAAUAUACACAAUAGCCAGUUGUGGAUCGACGAUCAUCAAGAUCCAGCCCCCAAUUUGCAUCGGCAUAACCAACUAAAGAGAGCUGAGUAGACGAACGAAACACAAUCCCAUAGUCUAGAGUACCACACAAAUACCGCAAUAUGCAUUUUAAAGCAACCAGAUGUAUAGUAGUGGGUGUAUCCAUAAAUUGGCAGAUGCGAUUUACUGCGUAGGCAAUAUCAGGUCGAGUUAGAACCACAUACUGUAGCGCCCCUGCAACACUUCUGUAUUCAGUGGGAUCAAAAAGUCAUUCCCCGCCAUCCUUAGACAAAGAUGAUGAGCUAAUCAUAGGAGUAUGAACACUCUUUGCAUGAGUCAUACAACACCUGUUAAGCAAAUCACGAACGUACUUUUGCUGGCAUUGAUGGAAACAUCCAUCAGAGGAACGAGUCACCUCAACUCCAAAAAAGUAAUGAAGAUCACCCAUACUUUAAGAGAAAACUCCUUAUGCAAUUUCUGAACAAAACUUUCAAUACAUGUAGGUACACUUCCAGUAACAAUAAUAUCAUCCAUACACAAGAACAUAUAGAGUGACAGAAGGUAUGACUUGAAUAAAUAAGGACGAACUCGACUUGGAUAUAUGAAAUCCAAUUGAAAGUAGGAAACACUUUAACUUUUUAAACCAAACACGUGGAGCCUGUCACAGUCCAUAUAAUGCCUUCUUAAGACGACACACCAAAGGUUCACCAUUAGGACUAAACUGAACAUACCCUGGAGGUUACUGCAUAAACACUUAAUCAGUAAGAUUGCCAUUUAAAAAACACAUUAUUAACGUCUUGAGACAGCGACUGAUAGUAUAACUCGAAUAGUAGCAUGCUUGACCCCCGGACUAAACGUUUCCUUAAAAUCACAUCCAAGUACCUGAGAACAUCCUUUAGCCACUAACCGAGCUAUCCGACUUGCAAUCGUUCCAUCCAAAUUUUUUUUUACUUUGAAGAGCCAUUUACACCCGAUUACCUUUCGACCGCUUGGUGACAGAAUAAGUUUCCAGGUGGAAUUAUGUGUAUUUUGGAAAUACGCCCAUCUCGUGGUGUUCAAAAAAGCAACAAGUUAUUUCUCGAUCAACAGCAGAAGUAGAAUAUUGAACUCUUACUGCCGCCACCAGUGAUAUAAUAUGGUUAGUCUAUCUGCUAACGGAGUUACAACUUCAUUCUGCUGACUCUCCUACUAUUUGAUGUGACAAUUCUAGUGCAGUAGCGAUUGCUGCCAAUCUGGUUUUACACUUCAAGUUUAAACAUGUUGAACUUGACCUUUUCUUUGUCCGUGAAAAGGUUGCUAACAGUUCACUCAUUGUUGGUGAGGUACCAGCCUGUGACCAAGUUGCUGACAUUUUAAGGAAACCGUUGUCUGUCUCUUUGUUUACUCAGUUUUGUAAUUUCCUUCGGAUCUUACCUAUUGAGAAGCUGGGUAAAUGUUAGAGUAGGUGAAUGUAUUAGGCUGUUAGUCUGUUAUCAAGACUGGUAUAUUGUUAGUAGGUUAGUUAGUAGUAGUUAGCUCAAGUCUCAUGCAUAUAAGUAUUAUCUCUAUACUGAUAGAAAAAGGUUAACAAUACAAACAAUUUAAUUAGUCUUUUCUUUCAAUAUUUUUCAGUAUUAUAGAGUUAGUAACAUGUUCAUAUUAUUUGUUCCAGUGUUGAUGGUAUUGGCAAAUACUGUUUUGUCCAAAAAGCUUGACGUCAUGCUCAUGACGUUGGCUACUGUUUGUAGGCUCCGAUAUAAGGUUUCAAUGGAAAUUCCCCUAGUCCUGUAAUCAAUAGAUGGUGGUAUAGCCCUUAGAGUACUAUGGGGUCCAAUUUGUUCUUUAGUUUUAUCAAUCAGACCACCACUGUGGCAGGAAUCAGAAAUAAUUAUGAAGCUUAAUCCACUUGGUAGUCGUUGAAUCAAGUGCCCCAAGUCGACGUCUGCACAACCAUCGCAACCACCAUAUGACAUAAAUAAUAGUUCGCUUAGAUUGAGGGUGUUUCAAUAAUGUGAUAUAUUUGGCCUCUAAUAAGAAAUCAACAUAUAGAGUGGGUGAUUAAUCCAAAUUGGGAGGAGGACAGGUGUUGUGAUGGACAAAGCGUAAGACAAGGUGGUUUCCGACUGAAGCAAGAAAGCUCUAGCAAAAGGCAGCUAGGUAUUCCUUUUUCACACAAAGACGAAGAUAAAUGAUUAUAACAGCAUGAUAUGAUCUGCUUCGCCUUCGUCCACCACCUCAUCUUUAUGUUUUUGUUUUGGUCGUGACUCACGUUGGCCUUUGUCUGCAAGUGCUGCAUGUCGGUCCUACUAUCGUGAUUGUGUUGCCUAGCUUCUGAUUUCUAUGUAUUAAUAGGAUCUAUUUGAAUGUGCGGUUUGCAGAGGUAAAAUUAGAAAUUUGUUUUUAAGUGUUAAACUUUGUAUCUAUAUAGAUUUAAGAAGUGUUAAAUCAAAAUUUUAUAUUUUUUUACGAUAAACUGUAUUUAUACAAUGUUUAACUUAUAAUUUUAUUGAUAUUACAGAGGUUUAAAUAAUAGUUUUCCAUUUUAGGGGUAUAAAGAGUAAUUUUCAUUUUAAGGGCGCUACGAUUAGACUUGAUUAUGAGUUGGGUCACCUGUCCAAGUCAAAUGGUUCUCUUGACAAGUGAGAGAGAUUGGGCAAAAAUAUAGCCCCAAAAAACAGACUUGGACAAAAAAUAAUAUCCAUUUUCCAAAGGGGCCGAGCCUCGGGUAAGAUUUUUUUGCUUGGGCCCAACCCGACCCAAAUUUGCUUAAAAAAUUUUCCUUGCUACUGUUAACUAUUGUUUGCUAUUAUAUUGUUACUAUUUUGUUGCUAUUAUUUGUAUAUUGUAUAAUUAUUGCUUUAUUGUUAAUUUUGCUACUAUUUUCAAUUAGUUGGGAAACAUUUAUUUCAAUAUUUUUAGUGUAUUUGAUGUAUUAUAUUUUUUAAAAUAAAAAAGUAUAAAAUAUUCUAAUAUAGGCGGGCCGGGCAAGGCUCAGGUUUGGCAUUGUUUAUCUGGGUCAGGCUUGAUCAAAAAUUUAGGCCCAUUUUUUGGUCGGGUAGGGCUUAAGCCUAGAAAACGAGCCUAGAAUCCCAACCCGAUUGAGCCCAUGAUCAAGUCUAGCCACAACCCCUACCCGCUAUGGUCACCGCCUUUGGAGACAAGAUUAAUUCUUGUGAGAUUGAGAAUAGGGAUGGCGAUGAGAUUAAUUACUAUAGCAGUGAGAUUAGUUACUACAGUGAUGAUGUUAAAAUUAGUGGUGAGAUGCGGAUUCAAACACAAGAAUGGCGGGAAGAUAGAUAAUAGAUUUAUAGUAAGAAAGGAAAAUGACCAUCAUAGACAUUAAAAUAAAUUAGUUUUCACCUUUCCGUAUAUUUUUCUAUGAUUAUUAUUUUAAUGAUAAAAACGACAUAUUUAAUAUUUCAUUUAAACACAUCGUGCAUAUUUUUAACAUAAAUUAAAAAUUUCUAACUAUUUGUUUUAUUUAAGAAUAUUUUUAAUCGUUUAAUAAAUGUUAAUAUAUAUAAUAUUUUAGAUAGCUAUGACAGAAAUAUCGAAUCAAUUUAAAAUUUUACAUACAUGAAAGGUACAACAAUAUUGAUAAAUUCAAUGGUUGGUGUCACAUCACAAAAUCAAUGUUAAAAAAAAAUUGGAUUAGCGAAACCAAGUGUGGUCGUGCUCAGUUUUGAUUUGAAGUUGUGAAAAUUAAAAACCAAGAGUACGUUAACCACCGCAUCCCCAAAUAGUCAUAUGAUGUCUCAUAGGCUUCACACCCUCUUAAUAAAAUCCCAUCAUCCUCCUUCAGUGGAUCCAACACCAUUAACCCAUCUACGUAGUGAGGAUGGAAUUUGAGCCUCACAUCUUUCCCGAAGAUUCCGAAAAUCUUUUGGCCAAUAUUUACUGCGUCGUGUAGGAGGCCUGCUGCUGUAUCUAUCGCACCAUGUAUGAUAUCAAAAGGAAGACUCUUAACCUUAACCUUAGACGGUUUAGGCAUGUUGGGAUUUACUGGUGUCGUCAUAUGCUCAACACCAAAUUGUUCUUUCUCUUUUUCAAUGAGACCACCACUGUGGCACGAAUCUGAUAGGAUUGUGAAGCUUGCUCCUUCUGGUAGCCGGUUAACUAAACGGCUGAAGUCCACAUCUGCAGAAACCAUGUAUAUAUAGGGUAUGAAUAUAUAUUGCUAAAAUAAAUAUUUAAAUUCAAACAAAAACCUACCCGUGACAAGAUUUAAAUCACAAGCCACGAUUGCUUCAUCUUGCUUGAAAGGCUGGCCAGGUUGAAAGAUUGGAAUGCGUGUUCCAUGUCCACUGAAGUAGAAAAAUAGGACAUCUCCUGCUUUAGCAUUGCACGCCAUUCUAUUAAGUGCAUCCCUAAUGUUUGCGCCGGUAGGCAGAACCGACGACCCUGGCGCACCGGUGAGGACAUUAAUAUCACUUUCCUUGAACCCAAAGUUCAGGAUCCCAUCUCCUAUGGUUUUCACAUCAUUGAUGCGUCCAUGCAAGCCGAAUUGGGUCUCGGGGUAGUUGCAUCCCACCAGAACUGCUCUCUCGUACCCUUACCCAUCUUGCUUUGCUAAUUUGACUAUUUUGUGUUGCUUGUACCCUUGUAUUAAUGUGCUUCCACCGUCUCACUAAGACCCUAUAUAUAUGUACACUAAUUUACGGCCUGUGUACUGUCCAUUAAGAUGAUCAUAAAGUGGAUAGGGUUUUACUUGUUUUUUCUUUUUAACAAACUAAUAUUAUUUUUGGCUAACAUCCAAUUUAUUUAAAUACGUUAAGUAUACCUAACAUAAUUUUUUUAAAAAUGAUAAAGGCAGAUUAUGUUUUCAUAGAUGUAAUUUAGUCAUACAAAUAUUAAUAAUUAUUAAUAAUUAAUAAACACGUUCAUUUCAAUUAAUUGUACACUCUACUAAAUGGUAAGAUGUGGCUUAUUAAGUUAAAAAAUUAAGUCUGACUUCCUCUCAACACUAUUCACACACCCUUGUUAUUUAUAUUUUUGCUCUAUAAAAAAUAAGGAUUUUGUGAUAUUUUUUCCUCUUAAAUGAUUUUAUUUAUAUUUUUAAUUAUAUUAUUUAUAUUUUAUAUUAGUUAUUAUUGAUUUAGAGAAUAAUUGGAGAAAAAAAAGAGCUUAAAGUUUAUUUUUGACACGUUUUGCGGGUUGGACUUUCAAUAUUUACAAUACAGUUUAAGUAUUUUGGUAAUAACUUAAGCUACAGAUUUUAGUUUUGGGCUCAUAAUAUACAAAUUUGAAGAAAAUUGACAUAACUAACUAAAUUUGUUUCGCGGAUGAAGCCCAAAAACAUCAAGAAGACAUCAAAAAAUGUCCUGGAAGUUUGACCGAAAAAUUGCCAAAAUAUCUUGAAAACUUUUGCUUUAUAUAAUUAAUGGUACUUUUGUACUUUCUCUAUUAUAUUAUUUUUCUCUAUAAAUGGACAUUAUUAGGUUAAGACGAGGGGAGACCUAGACCUAGGUGUUCUUAGUUUUAUUUUGUUUUUUUAGUUUGUGGCUUUUUAAACUCUCCAUCUAGUCGAAGGUUUUAUCAGAUUUUGAUUUAAUAAAUUUGUGAGACUUAAUUUUUGCUUUAAUUUUUCUUUGUUCUUUGGUAUUCAUGCAUUUUUUGUUUUAAUUACAACUUUUCAGGUUUAUUGAAUGUUCAGUCGGUAUUUGAUAGCUUAGAAUGACUGUUUUGUCAAUUAGAAUUCUUAAAUCCAUAAUUGUAUAAUUCAUUCUAAUACUAGUGACAAACUACAUAAUUCCCUUAUGUCGCAAUUUAUAUUUAUGUGGUGUGAAUGUGUGAUAUAGCUAAAAUGAAUCUCGCUAGGAUGAGUUUGUUAGUUAGAAUUUGGACUCUCUCGUUCUUAAUACUGCCGAUAAGUUAAAUCUAGGGCGUUGAGUUACAGGGUUAUUUAUCGAUUAGGAAAUAAUUUCAAACGAGUUUUCUCUUGGCUAUCGAACAAUGAGAGAUGGGUUGCAUUACACUGAGUCAACAACUAGAACUAAUUUAUUAAAGGUAUUGAAGUUAUUUUUGCAUUGAUGAUCAAAUCUUUGAAUCAAACAAAGAUUUUACUUCUAGCUAGAGUUUCUUCUCAUUAAUUUUCUUUUCUGUUGUUUUAUAAUUUAUUUUUACUUUGUUUUAAUUUUAAAAUCUUUUUAUAUUUUUCAUGUAAGUUUUUGUUUUUAUAAAUCUCUACAUCCUUGCAUUACUUCAAUACAACACCAAAAGAACCAAAUGGCAAACACUAUAACUAAAAAUCUUGCAAAAGAGGCCGUUUUAUUUUAUCAUAAAAUUAUACAUGAGAUAGCCAUACAUGGCGAUUACAUAAGCUUGAAGGCCUUAAAACACAGACAUACGAUAGUAAUUAAUAAGCAAACACACACACAGACGCAGUAAUGAAGGCUAACUUCAACUUCGUAGUAGUGCACACCGAUGGAGCACAUUAUUAUUUAGUUUACAGUUUCGACCUCUAGUGAUCGAAAACCCUGGUUCAAAGCCGGCAGCUUAUGCACCCGUAGUGGUGUUGGGUUGGUGGCCAAGAAAAGCUGCAUCAGCAUUCCCAUCACUGCAAUAAAGGCAAGGGUGCUGCUGCCCAAUUCCUAGCUUUAUUAUUUCAUUCCUAGCCUUCACCACAAGCUGUCUAUUGGUUAAUGCACCUAAUUCGCUCUCCUUGAUGACCUUCAGAACUGAAUAGGUAAAGGCCCCAAACGCCUUUCCUCCGGUUUUCUCACUCGCUGGCAUAUCAAUUGAAAGCUCAUUGGCUUGGCACCCACUUAACAGAAUUCCCUCAUCCUCCGUCAGUGACCUCAAAUUCAAAAUAUCACGCUCAUAAUGGGGUAGGAAUUUGAGACUCACAUUGUUCCCAAAGAUUGUGGUCAAAAGAGAGCUAAUACCCGUCAUAUUAUCUGUUCCAGUGUUGAUGGCAUUCCCAAGUGCUCUUGUGGGAAAUAAGUCUUGUGUCGCGAUUAUGACGUUGGCCGCUGUUUGUAGGCACUGGAAUAAGGUUGCUAAGGAAAUGCCCCUAGUCUUGUAAUCAACAGGUGGUGCUAUACCCCUUAGAGUACUAUGGGGUCCAAUUUGUUCUUUACUUUUAUCAAUCAGACCACCACUGUGGCAGGAAUCCGAAACGAUUGUGAAGCUUGAUCCACUUGGUAGUAGCUGAAUCAAUUGCCCCAAGUCCACGUCUGCACAACCAUCGCAACCACAAUAUGAUAUAAAUAACAGUUUGCUUAGAUUGAGAGUAUUUUAAUAAUUUAAUUUACCGAGUUGAUUACGUACCAAAAAUGGGAUUGAGAUCACAAGGCACAAUUGCUUCACCCUCGUUGGGAGGCUGGUGGGGGUCAAUGCGGUGCACAAGUCCAUGUCCACUAAAGUGGAAAAGCAGGACAUCUCCUUCUUUAGCCGCGACCACCAUCUUCUUGAGUGCAGCCAUAAUGUUUGCACGUGUAGGCUUAUACGUGGACUCUGGUUCAUCAGUUAGGAGCUCAACAUUUUCGGAAUCAAAGCCAAACCUGCUCACGAUCAUUUCUCUCAUGGCUUUCGCAUCGUUUACGCAUCCGCUCAACUUGUUGAUGGUGUUGGGGUAGUUGCAUCCGACCAGAACGGCUCUCUUCUUACAUUCGGUGGCCAUCUUGCUUCUGUUUUGGGUCGCUUGUCUUGUCUUGUGCUUCGGACGUUGCACUAAACACCUAUAUAUAUGCACACAUACACACUGUAGUUUACACUAUGCUCACUGACCAUACUCUAAUAAAUAAUACAUCAUGUUGGUAGGUACAACUGUUUUCUUUUAUUUUUUGUUUAGAAAAAAAAGGGGCUUUUUUUUAUAAAAACAACCCAAAAAUAAUUAAUUAUUUAAAUGACUUAUUUUUUUGAUAAAAACCUGAAAUCUAUGGAAAAAGUUGGUGGAGCCAAAGUGUUUGGCGCCACCAACAUGUCACGUUAGCAAUUUAUAUUAAAAAAUUAAAUUUUUAGUAGAGCCGCCACUUGUAUAAAUACUAUGAAAAUAUUAUGAUUUUUGAAAGAGUGGGGAUAGACAAUUUUACCUUUUUCUAAUUCGAAGACACUAGCCUGUUCUACUUAUUUGCCUAUUAAAACAGCCUAAAUUUUUUAUUUUUUUUCAUUCGUUACUUUUUCUGAUUCUUUGUCCUUUUUGAUUUUUUUUUCUUUUUAAGUUUUUUAUUUAUUUACUUUUUAAGUUUUUUUUGAUUUGUCCCUUAUAUAUUUUAUUUAUUUGUUUAUUAUUGGUUUUAUAAAAUCUCAAAUGUGUAUUUUAAAUGUUUUAUAAUAUUACUUUUUAAAAUUUUUAAAUAUAUUUUUCUAUAUUUAAAUAUUUUUUUAAAAUUUUAAAUAUUUUUUUAAAAUUAUAAAAUAUUUAAAAUAUAUUAUUUUUAAUGAUAUGACCUUUCAAAUUUAUUAUUUGUUUUAUAAUAUUUUAAAUGUAUAUUUAAAAAUUUUUAAAUAUAUUUUUUAAAAUUUUAAAUAUAUAUUUUUUAAAUUAUUUUUAAAGAUAUUCAAACGUUUUUUUAAUUCUAUUUAAAAUUUAAAAAAUAAUAUGUGUUUUUAGAAUGGCUUCACCACUUUAUUACAAGUGUCAUUUUUUAAAAAUAUGUUUUUUUAAAUAUAAAUAUUUAAUAUUUAAUAUUUUAUUUUGGUGGAGCCAUUCUUUAUGGCUCCACCUCUUGGUUCUCUAGCAUAUAUAGAAUGGUAAAAUUGUUGUGUUUAGUAGGAGAGUUCAAAAAUUCUAUUAAAGAUUAAUAAUAAGGUGUUUUUGGUUUACGUUCUCUUUUAUGGCGAAAUUGUAGAAGAUGAUGUUGGUUGUGUAUUUCAAGGUCGGCAAAGGGUAGGGUUGCGAUUCAAAAAACUGUAAAGCUGGCAGAAAUGAAAAGGAAGAUUAGUGCAAAAAUAGCUAUUUGUUGUGGAAGGGCAAUGUCCAGAUUAUUUUACAAGUUUCCAAUCUCUACAGAUCCGUUCAAAUCUUUCCACUGCAACGUCAGUGAAAUAACAUCCGUUGCCUUCAGUCUUAACGCAAGGGUGAUAAGACUAGUGUCUGCAAUCCACUCCACUGUAACUUCAGGGAGAUAGGAUUUGUGGUUUCACCGAUCUGUUUUCUAGGGAACAUGACCUGUAGAAUCCUUUUUAUGGGCCUAUUUAUGCCUAGUGAUUAGGAUGUUAUGAUCGGAAUGAAUUAAAAUCUCCUAAUCAAAUAUGCAUGCAUGAAUACAAAAUGUCAUGAAAAUAAUCCCCUAAUGUUUGAGUUGUUAUUGUUCAUUGUUCAUUAAGGAUUUAUUACCAACACAUCAGAACGCCAUCUUGUUCGGCUGGUAAAACUCAUAUCUUACUUAACCAGAUUGCGUCCACUAUAAUCUUCAAGGUUCAAUCCAUUGUAAUAUUCAAGGUUCAAUGCACUGUGCUUUUAGGACAUAAAAUUUAAACUAUCUUCCUCCCACUGUAAUUUAGGAAUAUAAGAUCUGGCUCUUUCUCAAUCCUCUCAUCCUACAAUUCAAGGAUACAAGAUCUGAAUCUCUUUGGUCUCUUACACUUUCUUAGAGUGUCAUACCAAAUGUUUAUGCACAAUUGUAGAACUUUCUUCUCCAAGAAAACAUAUUCUUAUCACUGGGUGAUCAUUGCUUGUUUGUUCAUUGAAGCUUUGUCACCAACACGGCAUCUUGUCAUUUUGUUCAAUCAACAUUUUGACAACAAAAUUUGAAGGGAUAGUCUUAAUUUAGACUUUUCCUUCUUAGAUAUUUCAACCUUUAAACUUGGUGCGUUCUAAACAAUAGUUAUGUUUUAGGUUCUUGUAUUAUUUAGAAACUUCUAGAGUAAUAUGCAAAACUUCCUUUGAGAAAGUAUUAUUAGUCCAUUAAUCAUCAUUCCAAUGCCACAUGCUUGCAAAAGAUCAUAUCAAUGGAUAAAAAUAGAAUUGAUUUGGGAGCACGGCUCGAAAUGAAUAAAUUAUCGAAGAUAGUAAAAUAAAAGAGGAAUUAAGUGGGAACAUGUAUCUUGAAAAAGAAUGAAGUAUUCUAAGAACAACAAAUUCAAUAUAAAUAGUAUGAAGACUAGAUGCCCCAAAUAUCGUAGCUUGAGUUUCUCUGUACAAACUUUCUAAAGACCAUUCCGAGUUUGACAUGUGUUUAGGAGAUCUACAGUACUUUGUCGCUGCCCCAAUAUGUCGCCUACCCUUUCCUGUUGAUUCAGGUAUAAGAAGAUCAUCACAUGCCCCAAUUUGAUCAAAAUUUCAGCUGUUCUGAUCACCUCAUGUCCCAUUCUAAUAAAAGAUUUAAGCUGCCCUUUUCCAGUUUUCAACUCAAAUCCCCUUUGGUCUCAAGGCGCCCUUUGCAGAUUUUUACCUUGGCCUCUCCUUUUUCUUUUUUCUUUUUUCUUUUUUAUUAUUAUUUUUUUAUGACUCAAAGCGCCCUUUGUGGGUUUUCACCUUGAUCUCUCUUUUUUUUUUUUAGAACUUAAGGCGCCCUUUGUGGGUUUUCACCUUAGUCCUUUUUAGGACUCAAAGCGCCCUUUGCGAGUUUUUGCCUUUGUCCCUUCUCUUUUUUUCAAGUGAAGUGUGUCUUGAUUGAGUCUAAGUUUACAAGAUUUGGCAAGUUUUUACCAUCCAUCUUACUCAAAAUCAAAGCUCCUCCGGAAAAGGCCUUCUUUACAACAUAAGGUCUUUCCCAAUUUGGCAUCCAUUUCCCUCUAAAAUCUUUUUGUAGAGGGAGAAUCCUCUUCAACAUUAGGUCGCCCUCAUUGUAACACCCCUAACCCGUGACCGUCGUUGGAUUGGGUUUAUGAGGCAUUACCGAACCAAAAGCUUAAUUCUAAUUUUAAUUAAUAAAUGGUAAAUCCAAAAUAAAAUGAAUCAUGCACUAUGUUAUAUAUAUAUAUAGCAUAGCAAAAUCAAAUAUAAAAUUCAAGUAAACCAAAUUUGCAUGCUUAACAAUCAAGUGGAAUACAUAGACUAUCCAUUCAAAUAUAGUAAAGGUGUACAUUUAUCAGAUUUGAAUAAAAUUGAUAUUUCACUAUAUUUAUUCAAAUAUAUAAUCUUACCAUUUCCAAGAAACAUUAUAUAUAUUCAUUAAGAUAAUAUAACACUCACUCAAAUUUCAUAGUCAACCACACUUUUUGGAAUUAAACAUGAACCAAAUAAUCUAUCUGUAUAUACAAUAUUUCCUAUUACCUAUUUAAUAAAUCUCAAAAUCUUAUUCAAAUAUUACAUAAAUUAAUCAAAUACAAUUACAACUUGAAUAACAAAUUAUGUCCUUAUACUAAUAAAUAUAAUAAAUAACAUGAAUUUAACCUUUAACCAAAUAUACAUGGCUUAUAAUAAAAUCAUAUGAUCAAACUAAUUUGUCCUAUUUAAAACCAAAUGCAAACCCAUGCAUAGCAAAUUUUCUUUACUAAAUAAUUAAAUUGAAGUGGCCAAAGUAAUACCAAUUCGUCUAGCGCAUAAUAUGCCUAAAUUAAAUCUAACAUCAAUCUAACCAAAUUGAUCAUGUAACACCCCUUACCCGUAUCCAACACCGGAAUAGGGUACGAGGCAUUACCAAAACACAUACACUUGUAAACGUAUUUAACCGAGUUAUAAAAUUUCAUCUAAAUAAAAACUUUCAAAAUAAUUAACAUGUUUCUAUAACUUUUCACAAUAUAUCCUCAAAAUAUUAUAAUCAUAAUAAUUAGGGCCUACGAGACCCGGUACAUACUCAUACAAUUCAAUGCUUCAUUUCCAUUUCAUUUAAUUCGCAAUUUCUCAUGCUCACAAUUUAGAUCAUAUCNNNNNNNNNNNNNNNNNNNNNNNNNNNNNNNNNNNNNNNNNNNNNNNNNNNNNNNNNNNNNNNNNNNNNNNNNNNNNNNNNNNNNNNNNNNNNNNNNNNNUGAACUUACUAUUUCAUUAUCUUCCACACUUGUUUCCUAUGCACAUUACACAAGAUAUAAACAUAUCAUUCAACCAUAGUUGCAAGCUAGUGUAUUGAAACAUAACUCUUUUUGGAACUAAUCACAUGAUAAACCAUUCAUGACAUUAUUUCAUGCCAAAUCAUAUACCGAAUAUACCAUACACACAUGCUAUGAAACUUUAUUUUCACACAUGAGCUUAAACCAUGUCCAAUAAUGCACAAAUUUAAGCAUCAUUUCUAUUUCAUCAUCUAUCAAUUAUAAUCAAACAUAUGACCAAUUAUACACAAAUCAUUCAUAUAUUUCUCAAUUUUCCUCCUCCUCCUCUCCAUUCCACAUCCUUAAUGUGUAUAACACACUUAAACAACAUUAACCAUAAUUUCAAUAUUCACUAACAUGUAUAUUCAAAGCUGUUUAUCCGAGUCAGAGUCACUAAAUUAUUUUUACCCAGAGCUACAGAGCUCCAAAUUAAGAUCCGUUAAUUUUCCCUGAAACUAGACUCACAUAUAUUCAUAGCAUAAAGUUUUCAGAAUUUUUGGUUGAGCCAAAUAAUACAGUUUAUUCUUUAAAGUUUCCCCUGUUUCGCUGUCUGACAGUUUCGACCACUCUUCACUAAAAAUUAAUUAUCUCAUUGUACAGAAUUCGGAUGAUGUUUUAGCUUGUUUCUUCUAAAAAUAGACUCAUUAAGGAUUCUAACCAUAUAAACUAUAACUCAUAAUCAUUUUUUUACAGUUUUUAAUGAUUUUCCAAAGUCAGAACAGGGGAACCCGAAUUCAUUCUGACCUUGUCUCACAAAAUCUAUUAUAUCUCAUGAUUUACAAUUCCAUUGCUCACAUCAUUUCUUUUAUAAGAAACUAGACUCAAUAAGCUUUAGUUUCAUAUUUUAUUCAUCCUCUAAUUCAAUCUCUACAAUUUUUGGUGAUUUUUCAAAGUUACACUACUGCUGCUGUCCAAAACUGCUUUAGUGCAAAAUGUUGAUUUCCAUUUUGCCCCAAAUUUCACAGUUUAUACAAUUCGGUCCUUUCUCAAUUAACCCCUCAAUUAAUCUAAUUUUCUCUAUUAUUGCUUUACUAGGCAUUAUAAGUUGUUACACAACUAUUGAAAUUCAGAAUUUCCACAUAUAACUCUAUCUUCAAACUCUUUUACUAUUAGGUCCCAAACAUUCACUUUCUAUUCAAUUCUUUCAAUAAAAUCAGCAUAUGAACAAUUUAAAGCUCUAAUUUCAUGCUAAAUCAUCAUAUACUUCCAGCACAUAUUCAUAUCAACUUUCAACUUCUUUCAUAAAAUCAAAAACUAAUGAAUUUAACAAGUGGGCCUAGUUGUAAAAGUCAUAAAAAUACAAAAAUUUCAAGAGAUAGUCAAGAAUUGAACUUACUUGUAAUAAAAAUAUGAAGAACCAGCUUGAAGAAGCCCUUCCAUGGUGUUUUAGCUGAUGAGAAUUCAGAAAAAAUGAAGAGAAAUCUAGAUAAUUCCACUUUGGUCCUAACUUUAUUAAGCAAAUUUUGCAAUAUUCCAAUUUUACCCUUAAUUCUCUUUACUUUCUGCUGAUUUCAUGCCCCUGCCGUCCAGCCCAAAUAGGCCUUGGGUCUAUUUACCUUUUAAGCCCUCUUCCUUUUAUCAUUUAAGCUAUUUAAUUAUUUCCUAUAAUUUUGCAUUUGUUACAAUUUAGUCCUUUUUGUUCAAUUAAUUAUCGGAACUUUAAAAUUUCUUAACGAAACUUUAAUACUAACUUUUUAACACUCCAUAAAUAUUUAUAAAAAUAUUUAUGGCUCGGUUUAAAAUCCCCGAGGUCUUGAUACCUCAUUUUGAUUCUAAUUAUUUUAAUAUUUAUUUCUAGUGCACUAUUCACUAUUUCAAAAAUUUUCCUAACUUCACAUUUAACUUAUACUUACUAAAUUAAUAAUAUUUUCUACCCAUUUGUCGAAUUUAGUGAUCUCGAAUCACCGUUCCGACACCUCUGAAAAUUCAAGCCAUUACAUUUUUUUUUCGUCGGAUUUGUGGUCCCGAAACCACUGUUCCGACUAGGCCUAAAAUCGGGCUAUUACAGAUCAUCCAAUACCAAAGCAUAUAAAUCAUAUCAUUUACCUGUUUAAAUACAUAUAAUUGAACUAUCUAUAUAAAUGCAUGCGCAUAAAUGCUCAUGCUUAAACCAUUUCCAAAAUAUAUAUUUCAUUACAUUACCUUACAAAACUAAGCAUUUCAUUACCAGUUAUAUAUAUAUAUAUAUAUAUAUAUAUAUAUAUAUAUAUAUAUCCAUAUUAUUAUAUGCUAUAAAAUAAAUAUCAAAUUAUAACUAUCGGCAAUUACAUUAAUUAAUCAAACAUAUACACCUAUAAUAUCAUUUAACAUCAAUUCCCAUGAAUUAAACAUACCAUUUGCAAUUUCAUAUCCAAACAAAUCACACAUAACAUUCACAUAUAUAAUACCAUCCAUAAAAUGCUUAAUCAUAAUCAAAAUAUGCCUAAACCAUAAUUCACCCAAACCGAUCACAACAAUCUAAUUAAGCCAUUUUCGCAUGGCUUUAAUUUAUACAUUUAGCAUAUGUAAGUCGAAUUUUUUACUACUAGAAUACAAGUAUAUUCAUCAUCAUCAUCAUAUAUAUAUAUCACAAUUAUGAUAAUAAGCCAAAAUCACUCAUAAUUUCAAACAUAUUUACACAUUAUAGACUUACUAAAUAAUCUUGAAUCAUCAAUUCAAUAUAAAACUUACCUUAAUUUCUUAACAUGGUAAUAAUACAUACCUGAAAUUUUAAAUUUGUUUUCACAUUUGUUCUUAAAUUAACGAUGCCCGUUGAGCCGUUCUGCAUUGAAAAUGAUAUGCAAAUAGUCGGAAAGCUCGUACAAUGCCAACGUCCUAGACGUGGUCUUACAUGUAUUUACAAAUUGAUGUCACUGUGCAAGACAAGGUCUUACACGUAAACACAAGUCGAUGCCAACAUCCCAGACGUGGUCUUACACGUAAUCACAAGUCGAUGUCAACGUCCCAGACGUGGUCUUACAGAAAAUCACAUAUUGGAAAUCCUAUCUAUUCCUAAGGCUCGUACGGGGCUUCUGAUUAUUGAACCUAAUCAAAUCAAACUCAAAAAUACAUAUUUCUAGCUUAAUCAUAUUCGGCCAUCAUCAAAUAAAAUUCAUAAAAUUGAAUUUAUUAUGUGACCUAUGUAUAUAAUUAAAUUUAACAACAUUUAUAUGCUUACAGACUUACCUCGGAUGUCGUUGAAUAAUAAAUCGGCUACUCGACCACUUUUGUCUUUCCCCGAUCCAAAUCCGAUUUCUUUAAUUCUUGAUCUAAACAUAUUUAAAUUAAGCUUAUUUAAACACGAUUCUAUUCAAUUUAGCCUAAAAACACAUGAAUGGGCAAAUUACAAUUUUACCCCUAACAUUUCCCACUUUUUACAAUUUAACCCUUUUUGCUCAAAACACAAAAUACACCAAAUUUGACUACACUCUUUAAGGGUCGAAUAUUCCUAGUGUCCAUACAACUCCAUAUUUUUCAUUUAUUUAGCAUUUGACCCCUCAAUUUACGCUUUUCUUAAUUUAGUCCUUAAUACACAUUUUUAUCAAAAAAAUUACUAAUUAAAACAUGAAAAUCUAACCACAUAUAUUUAUUUUCCAUCAUCUAAAAACAAAAACAACAAGUUCUCUUCAAUGGCAUCUUACAAAAUACACAACAAAUACAAAAUUCAAGCAUGGGCUUUGUAGUACUCGAAACAACGAUAUUAAAAACAUAAAAAUUAUAAAAAAUCGAAACAAAAUCUAACCUUAAUUAAGACUUGUAAUUGCCGAAUGUUCAAAGCUUUUUCUUUCUUUAUUUCUUUUGUAGUUUCGGUGAAAACAAAGAUGAACAAUAGCAUGGUUUUCUUAUUUUAUGUUUUAUUUUAUUAACAUAUAAUAAUAAGAAACUAUUAUGUUACCAAAAUAACCUUUAAUAAAGAAUAUACAAAACAUAUAAUAUAAGGUCAUUCUUGACCAUUGCCAUCCACUAACUUAUAUAAUGUGCUAAUUGCAUCAUAGUAUAAAGACAACAACAAUUAGACACUUUCAUAUUUAACCACUAAAUUUUCAUUUUACGCGAUUAAGCCCUUUUUCUCAAAUUAAGCACUCAAACAAUAAAAUUAAUUCACGAAACUUUCACACAUGUAAAUUCACACAUAAUAAAUACAGAAUAAAAAUAUUAAAAUAUUUUUUAGACUCGGAUGUGUGGUCCCGAAACCACUGUUCCGAUUAGGGUCAAAAUCGGGUUGUUACAACUCUCUCCCUUUAGGGAUUUUCGUCCUUGAAAAUCUUACGGGUGAAUAGGUGUGGGUAACGUUCUUUCAUUGCAUCCUCUGGCUCCCAGGUUGCUUCCUCAACUCUGUGUUUAUGUCACAGUACUUUGACUAACGGAAUUUUCUUAUUUCGUAAUUCUUUAACCUCACGAGCCAGAAUACUAAUCGGUUCUUUUUCAUAUGACAUAUCAGACUUAAUUUCAAUCUCGGUAGGACUAAUCACAUGCAAAGGACCGGAUCUAUACCUACGAAGCAUCGAAACAUGGAAUACAUUGUGAAUCUUUUCUAACUCAGGUGGCAGCAGCAAUCAAUAAGCAACUGGCUCGACACGCUCUAUAAUCUCAUACGGUCCAAUGAAUCUCAGACUCAAUUUGACUUUACGACUGAAUUUGAGUAUUUUCUUCCACGAUGGUACUUUUAAAAAAACUUUAUCUCCAAUCUGAAACUCUAUAUAUUUUCUUUUCAAGUCUGCAUAUGAUUUUUGACGAUCCGAUGAUGUUUUCAGAUUAUCGCGAAUCACUUUCACUUUCUAUUCAGUUUCUUUAAUCAAAUCGACCCCGUGUAUCUUAUUUUCACUGAAUUCAGUCCAAUACAAUGGUGUACGACAUUUACGACCGUAUAAAGGCUCGUAAGGUUGCAUUUUGAUACUAGAUUGAAAGCUAUUAUUAUAUGACAAUUCAAUCAAAGGUAAAUAUUGUUCCCACGUACCUUCAAACUCAAGAAUGCAACAUCUCAACAUAUCCUCAAGUAUCUGAAUGAUUCGUUCAACUGUUUCUGGAUGGAAAGCUGUGCCAAAAUGUAGUUUCGCACCUAAAGCAUCUUGUAGUUUCUUUUAAAACCGCGAUGUGAACCUCGGGUCUCUGUCCGAAACAAUAGAAAUAGGCACACCAUGCAACCUCACAAUUUGAGAAAUGUAUAAUUCAGCAAGUUUAUCAAGUGAAUAAUCAGUAUGGACUGGAACAAAGUGAGCUAAUUUUGUCAAUCUAUCAAUAAUAACCCAGAUUGAAUCUUUCUUGCUCGGUGUCAACGAUAAACCAGAUACAAAAUCCAUUGUGACUCGGUCCCAUUUCCAUUUAGGUAUCAUGAUCAGCUGAAGCAAUCCAAAAGGUAACUGAUGCUCGGCUUUUACUUGUUGACAUAUUAAACAUUGUGAAACAAAGUCAGAAAUAUCUCGCUUCAUACCGCGCCACCAAUAGUGCUAUUUUAGAUCAUUAUACAUUUUCGUGCUACCCGGAUGAAUAGAUAAUCGACUAUUAUGAGCUUCAAUCAAGAUCAUAUGAAUUAAGUCUGAAUUAUUCAGAACACAUAGUCGGUUUCUGAAUCUCAAACAAUCCUCAGCAUCAACUAGAAACUCUGAAUCAACAUUCAAAUCACACUGAGCCCGUUUUGCAAUUAAAUCAUUAUCAUCUUUCUGAGCUUCACAAAUAUAUUGAACAAAUAGCGGUUUUACUUUCAACUCAGCUACCAUUGCACCAUCAUCAGACAUAGCUAUAUGCGCGUUCAUUGCACGUAAAGCAAAUAGUGAUUUUUGACUUAAGGCAUUCACAACAACAUUAGCCUUUCCCGAAUGAUAAUCAAUCACAAGCUUAUAAUCUUUUAGCAACUCUAACCACCGUCGCUGUCUCAAAUUUAGGUCCUUCUGAGUCAUCAAAUAUUUCAAGAUUUUGUGAUCAGAGUAAGCAUGACAUUUUUCACCGAAUAAAUAGUGGCGCCACAUUUUCAAACCAAACACAAUAGCGGCCAAUUUGAGAUCAUGCGUCGGAUAGUUCUUUUCAUGUGGCUUCAACUGUCUCGAGGCAUAAGCUACAACUUUGCCUUCCUGCAUCAAAAUACAGCCCAAACCGUUCAAAGAUGCAUCACUAAAAAUAACAAAUUCUUUACCUGUCUCUAGCUGAACUAGUACUGGAGCUUCGGUCAAAAGGAAUUUCAACUGAUCAAAGCUUUUCUGACACUUUUUUGACCACUCGAACUUAACAUCUUUCUGUAGCAACUUCGCCAUCAGGGUCGCAAUCAUAGAAAAACCUUUCACGAACUGUCUAUAAUAACCAGCGAGUCCCAAAAGACUUCAAACUUCAGAGACAUUUCUCAGAGGUUUCCAAUCAAGUAUAGCUAAAAUUUUACUUACAUCAACCCGAAUACCCGAUGCUAAUACAAAAUGGCCCAAAAAACUGACUUCGCAUAACUAGAACUUACAUUUACUAAACUUUGCAUACAAUUGUUUAUCUCGCAAAGUUUGUAACACAAGUCUUAGAUGUUCAGCAUGUUUGAUUUCAUCACGAGAGUAGAUCAAAACGUCAUCUAUGAAUACUACCACAAACUGAUCUAGAUACUGUCUAAAGAUUCGAUUCAUCAAAUCCAUGAAAACAGCAGGUGCAUUAGUAAGCCUGAAAGGCAUAACCAGGAAUUCGUAAUGUCUGUACCUCGUUCAGAAAGCUGUCUUUGGCACAUCAGAGUCUUUAACUCACAACUGAUAGUAACCCAAUCUCAAAUCUAUCUUCGAAAACAUUGAAGCCCUUUUUAGCUGAUCGAACAAAUCGUCAAUACGUUGCAAUGAAUAUUUAUUAUUUAUAGUCACCUUAUUGAGCUGCCGGUAAUCAAUACACAUUCUCAUCGUUCCAUCUUUCUUUCUCACAAAUAGAACUGGUGCACCUCAAGGAGAGAAACUCGGUCGUGCGAAACCUUUAUCUGUCAACUCUUGCAACUAUGCUUUCAUCUCUUUUAAUUUAGUCGGUGCCAUACGGUACGGAGUCGUCCCUGGUACUAAAUCAAUACCAAACUCUACCUCUCGAAUAGGUGGCAAACCCGACAAUUCUUUGGGAAACACAUAUGAAUACUCACACACAAUCGGCAAGGAUUCAAUCUUUUUUUCAGUCACUUUACUAUCAAGAAUAUAUGCAAGGUAAGCUUUACAACCUUUUCUCACAUACUUUUGAGCCAACAUCGAGGAUAUUACUGCUGGUAAACCAUUUAGAUCUUUAGAUUCAAUCUAAAUAAUCUCGUCGUUCUGGCACCUUAAAUCGAUAGUCUUUCUUUUACAGUUAACCACAGCAUCGUGUAAAGUCAACCAGUCCAUACCCAAAAUAGUAUCGAACUCGUCAAAUGGCAACAACAUCAAAACAGCCGUAAAACAUAAAUCUCGAAUCAUCAACGGACAAUUCUUACACACUUUAUCAACCAAAACACACCGGCCCAGGGGAUUUGAUACUCUAAUCACAAACUCAGUAGACCCAACAAGCAAAGUCUUACUGGAUACUAAAGUCUCACACACAUAUGAAUGAGUCAAACCAAUAUCAAUCAGUGCAAUAACAUUAGUAUCAUAGAGAGUGAAAGCACAAGUAAUAACGUUUGGGGAUAAAGCCUCCUCACGAGCGCGUAUAGCAUAUGCUCUGGCAGGUGCGUUAGCCUCAGAUCUAACAGUUGUAUCUUUGGUCCCCCUCUGAUAGCCACUCAUAUUACCCGUGUUUCUGGGUGGUCUACCUCUAGCUGCAGUGUUACCCAAUCUCGUAUUUUGUACCAGAUUUUGAUCCACUAACUCUGGGCACUCACGAAUGAAAUGAUCCCUCGAUCUACAUUUAAAAUAGGCUCGAUCAUGUAAUCUCCAACUACCAGAAUGUCGUUUACCACAAUGUUCACACUCGAAUUGAUUUGACCUGACAUUACCCACACUCGCUACUGAAGUAGCUCUCGAGCUCACAGGUGGUCUAUCCGGAUCCCGUCGUGAAUACCCCACAAUAGUCUUUGAACGACUAGUAUCAUCUCGAAACUUCUUUGAGGUCGACUGAAAUGGCUUACAAAAUGACCUUUUACGGAAAUCUCUAGCUUCAAAGUCAGCUUUUCUCUUCUCUUUCCCGAGUUAUUCUGCUUUGUAAGCUCGUUUAACAAGUACUACGAACUCUUUUAUCUCAAGUAUGCCAACUAACAGUUUAAUAUCUUCAUUCAGCCCAUCUUCAAAUCUUUUACACAUAAUAGCUUCAGUCGAAACACACUCUCGGGCAUACCUACUGAGUCUCACAAAUUUCCGCUCAUAUUCUGUCACUGUCAUCCGACCCUGUUUCAAUUCAAGAAAUUCCUUGCGUUUCUGAUCAAUGAAUCUCUGGCUGAUGUAUUUCUUACGGAACUCAGACUGAAACAAUUCCCAGGUCACUCGCUCUUUCGGACCCACUGAUACUAGUGUAUUCCACCAGUGAUAUGCAGUGUCCCGUAGCAAAGAUAUGGCACAUUUUAAGCACUCGUCAGGGAUGCAAGAUAACUCAUCAAACACUCGAAUAGUAUUAUUUAGCCAGAAUUUAGCUCGCUGAGCAUCAUCAUCAUCAGUGGCUCUGAACUCUUUGGCCCCGUGUUUUCGGAUUUUAUCAACAGGAGGCUUUAGUAAUCUCAACGGAUCACUCACUUGAGGUAUAACAGGAAUCAAAGAUGGAUUAAUCGGGGGUGGAGGGCAAUCAUAUAACUACAAAAAAUACAUAAAACAAAAAAAAAACAAUAAUGUCCUAAAAACACAUAGGUGGUAUGGGUAAUAUAAAUAAAAAAAGACUUAUUUUUAUUGAAUCAAUAUCUAUAAUAAUAUAUAGAGUUUUACAUAUAAUAUAAACUACGCAUAUUCAAACUCAAAAUUUUAUCUACAUAUGAGAACUUUUAUAAAAAAAAAAUUCACUCAUUAAAGACAAAUGUAAAUUUUUUGUACCCCACAAAUGGAACUAAGCACAAUAACAAUGCAAAAUUAAGCAGAAAGGUCGUCAUAUUAAAAAAAUUAAUAUAUAAAUUUAUGAAUGUGUCAUAAAUUAAAAAAAUAUAUAUAGCUAAUAGGAAAAGAUCAAUUUCAUGCAAAAAUAAGUUAAAAAGGGAUAAUAACAACCAAAUAGAGAUCAGUUUCAUGCAAUCAAAAUGAUUUCUUAUUUAAUUUAUAAUUAAUUUAAAUGUUUCAUUGAUACUCGAUGAAGUGUAAUCCGUAUUUGCUCCAGAAAGCAUUUUGAUAUCUGCAUAAUUUAAAAAAAAUUACAUAAAAUAAAUAUAAUUAAUUACUAUAUUACAAUAACUAUAAAAUAUAAAAUUACAAAAUAAAAACUAUAAAUAACUUACUUUUUUUUUUUCUCUUUUCUUCCUUCCUUUUACAAAAUAUUUGAAGGGGCGACCAAACCCCACCUUCUUAAAUAGAAUGUUCUUCUUCUUAAAUAAUGUUCUUCUUCUCUUUUUUUCUUUUUUUUAACUAACAAUUAGGCUAAUGACUAGUCACAUCGCUAAUGUCACUUAGAGGUGUGCAAAAUUUGGGUAAAAUCGAAAAAAUUCGGUUAAUCUAUAAAAAUUCGGUUAAUCGGUCGGUUAACCGAAUUUUUUCAGUCGAGGCUCGAUUAAUUAUUUUUAAAAUUUUCAGUUAACGGUUAAUUCGGUUCGAAACCGGUUGGUUAACCAAAUUUUUUCAGUUUAACCGAAAAAAUUAAUAAAUAAAAUUAUAAUAUAUAAAUAGGCCCACUAUUCACCUAAAUCCAAUCCAAACCCAAAUAUCCAACCUAACCCAAUUACCCAAUCAUAAAAAUUACAAAUAAUUUAAUAAAUAAAAAUAAAAAAUAUAAUUUUCGGUUAAUUCGGGUAAUUCGGUUAAUUCGGUUAAUUUUUAACCAAAAAUAAAAAAUAUAUAAUUUCGGUUAACCGACCGAAUUAACCGAAAAAUUUUGGUUCGAUUUAUAUUUUUGAAAAAAUUUUGAUUCGGUUAAUGUUAUUUUAGGUCAGUUAACCGACUGAACACCCCUAAUUUCACUGACACGAUGUGACCAGUUAAAAUAUAUUUUUUUAUUUUCUAAUAUAUAAAAAUUUUCUAAUAUAUAUUUUUAAUCCUUUUUUUAACCAAUAAAUUAUUUUUUUAUUUUUUUUCCAAUCAAUUCAAUUUCCACUUUUUUAAAUAAAAUAUUUUAAAAAAAUUUAAAUAGAAUUUUAGAAAAACUUUUUGAAUAUCUUUAAAAAUAAUUUUAAAAAUCAUAAUUUUAAAAAAUAUAUAUUUAAAAUUAAAAAUUAUAUUUAAAAUUUUUUAAAUAUGCAUUUAAAAUAUUAUAAAACAAAUAAUAAAUAUAUCUUUAAAAAUAAUAUAUUUUAAAUAUUUUAUAAUAUUAAAAAAUAAUAUUUAAAAUUAAAAAUAAUAUAUAGUUUUAAAAAAAUAAUAUUAUAAAACAUUUCAAAUAUACAUUUCAAAUUUUAUAAAACCAAUAAUAAAUAAAACAAAUAAAAUAAAUAAAUAAAGGACAAAUAAAAAACUUAAAAAGUAAAUAAAUAAAAAGUUUAAAAAGAAAAAUGAAAAAGGACAAAGAAUCAGAGAAAAAGAAGUAACGAAUGAAAAAAAAAUAUUUAGGUUGUUUCAAUAGGACAAGGAACCGGCUAGUAUCUUAGAAUUUGGUAGCAUAAAUUUAUUUGGUUCACCAGAAAAAGAUAAAAUUGCUUAAAUAUUUUACUUUUAAAAAUCAUAAUAUUUCUCUAAUAUUUAUACAAGUUGUGUUAUUUUACAUGGCUUCACUAAAAAAAAUGAUUUAUUAAUGUAGAUUGCUGACGUGCAAAACACUUUGGCUCCUCUAACUUGUAUUGUAAAUUUUUUAUUAUUUUCACAUUUUGUGAAAAAAAGGUUAUUUAAGUAAUUAAUUAAAUUUUUGAGUUAUUUUUAUAAAAAAAGAGCAUAGUAAUUAAUUAAGCUAGGUAUUCCUUUUUCACACAAAGAAGAAAAAUGAUAGAAAAUAGAGGGUUGUGGUCGUAGAUAAAUGAUUAUAACGUGAUAUGAUCUGCUUCGCAUUAGUCCAUCACCUUAUCUUUAUGUUUUUGUCUUGGUCAUGAAUCACUUUGGCCUUUGUCUGCAAGUACUGUCUGUCCUACUAUCCUGCAUCUGAUUUUCUCUGUCUUUUGGGUCUAUUUGAAUCAUGCUGAAGUAAGAAAACUGUUUUUAAAGUAUAAAAGUUGAUAAUUAUAUUAGUUUAUUUCUUUAUAAUUUUUUAAAUUUUUAGAGAUAAUAAAUUAACAUUUUAUAUUUUUGAGGAUAAACUAGAAUUUUAUAAUGGCUUAAAUAAUAGGUUUUCAUUUUAGGAGGUCUAAAGAGUAUUUUUCUUUUUAAAGGAGCCACAACCCUUGCUUACUUUGGUCACCUUCUAUGGUGACCAGAUUCGUUCCAGUGAGAUUAAAAACAACAGUGGUGGUGAGAUUAAUUACUAUAAUAAUGAGAUUAUUAAAAUGAGAUAGAUUAUAGAUUUAUAGUAAAAAGGAAAAAUGACCAUUAUAGACAUUAAACUAAAAUUAAACUAAAGAAGUUUACACCAUUCCGUAUAUUUUUGUACGAUUAAUAUUUUAAAGAUAAAAACACCAUAUUUCAUAUUUCAUUUAUAUAAAUCAUGCAUGUGAAAUUUCACGUAAAUUAAAAAAAUUUAACUAUUUGUUUUAUGCAAAAUACUUUUAAUCUUUGAAUGAAUGUUAAUACAUACAAUAUUUUAGAUGGAUAGAUAAAAAUAUCGAAUCAAUUGAGAAUUUACAAUAAUAUCAACAAAUUCAAUGAUUGGAUUGUUAAGUUAAGAAUCAUGCAAAAAUAUAUGGAAGCGUGUAAAAUUACUUUAAUUUCGCAGUAGUAUAAGCAAAUUCUUUUUUUUAAUAUAUAAAAUUAAUUAUAUAAUUUAAAUUUAUGUAUUUAACAUUAUUUAUAAAUAUAUUUCAUUAUUUAUAAAUAUAUUAUUUGAAAGUAAUGAAAUAAAAUAAAUAUUAUAAAUAAAAUUAUUAAAAAAUAGUAUCUAUUAUUGAAUUAAAUUAACCAUUCUUUAAAAAAGAGUGAAAAUUAUUUUUUUAAAAUGCAUAGGGUUUUAUUUUUAAAAAAAAUUAAGAUUUAGGUAUAAAAGAUAAACAUAAAGUGCAUAGGGCUUUAUUUUUUAUUUUUUAAAUAAUAUUGUUUUCGGCUCACAUGCAGUUUAUUGAGUUAGGUUAAGUAUACCUAACUCAAAAUUUAUAAAAAUGAUAAAAGGCAUGUGAUUUAGUAACACAAAUAUUUUAUUCUCAAUUUUAAUUCGGUUUUUUAUUUAAAAUAGUAAAGGAUGUAGAUACCUUUAUAAAUUUGCACCUUUUAUUUUAUACUUUAGUCCUUUCUUAAUUAGUAAUAGUAAAAUUGUACUUUAACCCUCCAAAGAUGAUAAAAAUUUAAUUUGACCCUUUAAAAAUUACAAAUAUAUAGGCUAUUAAAAAUUACAAAUUACAAUUUAAUCCCAACCUCCAAAAACAGUUAGGCUCCGCCAGUUAAUUGAUUAUAUUAAAUUCGAUAAAAAUUUUAAGUAGAAUUGAAAAAAUAUGUGUUUUAUUUAAUAAUAAUACUUUUGAAUGGGUUGAAUUGGCAAGAGUUAAGGUGUGGAUAAAAUAAUAAAUUUAGUAGAUUAUGAGCAGAACUCGGUUAUAUCAGACUCAGUGCCAUGAACUUCACUAGCAAGCUUGCUAUCACAGCUGCAGCAUAAGCUAUUAACUGCUUAAUCACCAUUUUUCUUACAACACUCAAAGAUGAAGAAGAAGAUUCUAUAUUCAAUUUCUUAAUGUUAACCUUGCAUUUGCAUUUCCUCGAUAGGGUUUUUAUACCAAAUUUCAAGGAGAAUAAAACAAAAUAAUAACUUUUUAGUUAAUUUGAUGGCAUAAUUGGAUAAGGUUUUUUUUUGGGGGGGGGGGCGAUUUUGCAACGAUAUAUACAGGUAGGUAGGCACAUUUUGUUUUGUUGAAUAACUAGUUAUAUGGUAUAAAAUAUUUGGCUCGUGGUCGAUUUUUAAUUUAUUUAAAACUCAACAUGCAUGAUUUAUAAGAAUGGAAUAUGAAAUAUGAUGAUAGGAUUAUUAAAAUAUUAAUUAUAUAAAGAAUUACAGAAGUACAUAAAAACCACUUUAAUUUUGUAAGUAUUUUGGCAAGGCAACAAUGGAAAGGGCUCUUGCGAUGAAAGAAGUGAUUAAGGGCUACGAAAGCAUGUCUGGACAGAUGGUGAAUUUUAACGAAUCCCUGAUUUAUUUUAGCAUAAAUACAAGUGAGGAAGACAAUGUGCAAAUUGGGAGUUAGAAUGUCUAAUAAUCCAGAGAAGUAUCUUGGGUUACUAACGAUGGUCAGAAGAACAAAGAAGAACGCAUUCGUCAAUUUAAAGGAAAGGUUCAUUAAUAUAAUAAAAGCAUGGAGUGUACGCAAUCUAUCAAUAGGGGGGAAGGAGGUAUUUAUCAAAUCCACUUUACAAGUCAUUCCAAUUUAUGCAAUGCAGUGUUUUUUUAUGCCAAUUUCUUUAUGUUGAGAAUUAAGAGAUUAUGAUGUGCAAAUUCUAGAUACGCAAUUCGAAAACAAAUAAAGGAAUUCAUUGGUGCAAUUGGCGUUCUAUAUAUAUGUACCCCAAAGGCACAAGGGGGAAUUGGUUUUAGAGAUCUUUCAAUUUUUAAUAAAACCCUUUUAGCGAAGUAGGGUUGGAAACUAAUUACCAAUUCUACCAGUUUACUUGCACGAGUAAUGAAAGGUAAGUAUUAUCCAAGGAGUGAGUUUAUGAAUGCAGGUUUAGGAUAUCACCCUUCUUUUACCUAGCGAAGCAUUUGGGGUGCUCGUAGCAUUUUGGAAGAUGGUACUGGCUGGAGAAUUGGGAAUGGCAUGACAAUGAAUAUAUAGAAGAUGCUUGGAUUCCAGGACCUGGAGACGGAAAGGUAAAAAUUCAGAAUAUUGACAUUAGAUGCUCGAAGGUUGCAGACCUCAUUAAUAGUGAAACUAAUACCUGGAAAAUGGAUCCAGUAGAAAGAUUGUUCAUGAAGAAGCAAGCCGAGUUGAUUUUAACCAUCCCACUGGUGAACAACUCUUAUCAAAUGCUUUAAUCUUAAAGGGUGAUAAUACGGGAGAAUACUCGGUCAAAAGCAAGUACAAGUGGUGCAUUUCUGGUGGCCAAGACGGGACAGAGGAUGAUAAUAAUUUACAAGACAUUGCUACCAAAAAAACUAUUACACAAAGCUCUGGAACCUCAAAAUUCCAAACAAAAUCAUAAUACACCUAUGGAAGGUUUCUAAAUAAUUUUCUGCCUUUGCUAAGUAAUCUAAAGUAUCGAAGACUAAGGGAGGAGGCCCUCUGCUCGAUCUGUAAGAAGGAAGACGAAAUGGUGGACCAUCUCUUUCGAGACUAUGCUUUUAUGAAACAAGUGCUUCAGGAGAUAGGAAUGGUACCCUUGCACACAAACACAAAUCAAGGAUGGAAAAUUUGGUUUGUGUAUGUUUUCGGAAACUGUAACAUUUUGCAAAACAUAAACACAACCAUUGCAUAUUAGGCCAUUUGGCAUAAUAGAAACAAGUUAUAUCAUGAAGGUAAAAGAGAAAGAGUAUGUGAAGUUGUCAGUUUCAUUAAGGCAUACAUUGUCGAGUUAAAACAGUUAAGAGGAAAUCUCAGUGAUCCGAAAUAAUAUUGAAGAAAUACAGUGGGAACCUCCAAAGGGAGAUCAACUGAAAGUUAAUUUUGAUGCCUCUUUCCAACAGCAGUGUUGGUGCAAGAGGCAGCAGCAAGCUUGUUUCUACUUUGCUUGGACAGCAAGUGUCGAGCCUUGCUGAAGAAACUAUCGAAGAAGAAAGGAAGAAAAAAAAAGAAAUUUGCAAUGGAAAACUGAAAAGAAAGAGAUAAAUUUGAAUGAAAAUGAGCUGAAUUUUCAUUAACCACUUCACAAGGCAUAAUGCCAAUACAUAUAUGAGAUAACAACAGCAAAACAAACAAGUUACCACCUAAUAACAUACCUAACACCACUAAAUUGCCUAGUAACUUGGUAAACUUGUUUGAACAUAUAAGCAACUACCUAAACUUGUCAUUCAGCACCUAAUUACAUCAAAAUGCAGCUACCAACUAAGUUCAAAACAAACUAAAAUACAAAAUGUUCAUUUGAGUAACCAAAUGAAACAAUGCAGUUUCGGUUUGAUGUUGAAGCACGUUCCCUGCAUGGCCACCUUGCAUGGCCACCUUGGCUGCUACAUGGGGGCUGACUUCAACACUCUUCCUCAGCUUCUAUGCAGUAGACUCCUAGUUGCUUUCUUAGGUUUAGAAAUCUCGAUGUACCAAGUGAUUUUGUGAAGAUAUCGGCAAUCUGAUUUUCUGAGCUGCAAUGAAUCAGCUCGAUCUCUCAAGCUUGUUCCAUUUCUCUUAUCACAUGCAGUUUAAUGUUGAAAUGUUUUGUCCUGCCAUGGAAGACAGAAUUUUUAGCAAUAGCAACUGCUGACUUGUUGUCAUAAUGUAUCACAGUUGCUUCAUUCUGCUGUAGGUUCAAAUUGCUCAAAAUUUUUCUCAGCCACAUAGCUUGAUUAAGAGCAUUGGCAGCUGCUACAUACUCAGCUUCAGCUGUCGACUGAGCCACCAUUGUUUGUUUUCUUGAACUCCAACAAAUCAUAGCUGAGCCAAGUGUAAAAGAAUAACCAGAGGUGCUCUUCAUGUCAUCUUUUGAACCAGCCCAAUCGCUGUCAGUGUAGCCAAUCAGUUUCAAUUCUUUAGCCCUACUGAAAUGUAUUCCAUGGCUCAAGGUGCCUUUGAUAUAUCUCAGCACCCGUUUUCCAGCUUUGUAAUGCUGCUGGUUGCAGCAAUGUAUGAAUCUUGAUAGCAUGCUCAUAGCAAACAGAAUAUCAGGUCUUAUUGCUGUCAGAUACAGUAAACAACCAACAAGGCUUCUGUAAUCAGUUUCACAGACAGAUUCAUGGUCUUCUUGGCUCGAUAGCUUCAUGCCAACAGCCAUAGGUGUGCUGGUUGGUUUACAAUUCUCCAUUGAGAAUUUGGCUAGAACUUUCAUGGCAAAUGAUUUUUGUCUCAAGAAGAUUCCUCCUUCUGCUUGAUUUACUUCCAUUCCUAGGAAAUAUGUCAUCAAUCCCAGGUCUGACAUCUCAAACAUUUCCUUCAUUUUUGUUUUGAAAUCAGCUAACAUGAACUUGUCUCCUCCAGUCACUAGAAGAUCAUCAACAUAGAGUGAGACAAUGAGCUGUGUUUCAGCUCGAUUUCUUUUAACAUAUAGUGUUGGCUCACUAGCACUCCUUUAAAAUCCCAAACUGACCAGGUAUGAGUCAAUCCGAGCAUACCAGGCUCGAGGGGCCUGUUUUAGGCCAUACAAGGCCUUUCUUAGCCUAUACACCAAAUGUUCCUUACCAGGCAUUAUGAAUCCUAGAGGUUGCUCGAUGUAUAUCUCCUCUUCCAAGAAUCCAUUGAGGAAUGCAGACUUGACAUCCAUUUGAUGGAUUGUCCACUGGUUCUGAGCAGCUACAGCAACCAGCAAUCUGAUUGUAUCGAGUCUGGCUACUGGAGCAAAUGUUUCCAUGUAGUCCAGACCAUAUCUCUGACUAAAGCCCUUCACAACUAGCCUGGCUUUCAGCUUGUUUAAACCUCCAUCUACAUUAUGCUUCAUUCGAUAGACCCAUUUUACACCAAUGGUCUUUCUGUUAGUUGGCUUUUCAACCAACUCUCAUGUUUGGUUCUUCUCAAUCAUGUUGAUUUCAUCAACCAUAGCCUGUUUCCAACCCUCAUUUGCCUCAGCCUCUUCAAAACAGGUAGGUUCAGCUAUAGCAACCUGUGCCCUUUCAUAAAUCUCACCUAGGGGCCUUGUGCCUCUCACAGGCACAUCAUCAACAUCCAUCUCAGGACCAAGCUGCUCGAGUUCAGCUUGAUCAGGCACCAGGUCUUUUGAAGCAGCUUCUGGUUCACUCUUUUCCCAAUUCCAGCAAGCUUUUUCAUAAAAAAUGACAUCUGUGCUCACCUGGACUGUGCUUGUCAAGGGAUCCAGAACCCUGUAGCCCUUCUUGACUGAGCUAUAACCCACUAGGACACCUGGUUGAGCCCUUUCAGAUAGCUUAUCCCUCUUUGCUGCUGGUAUUUGUGCAUAGCACAGGUAACCAAACACCUUCAGAUGUGCCAAGGAAGGCUUGAAUCCAAACCAAGCCUCGAAAGGUGUCUUGGAUGCAAGAGCUUUGGUAGGAAGCCUAUUCUGAAGGUAGACAUCAGUGUUUACUGCCUCAGCCCACAUGGUCUUGGGCAAUUUCUUCUCAAACAGGAGACAUCUGGCCAUAUCCAUCAGACUUCUGUUCUUUCUUUCAGCUACCCCAUUCUGCUGAGGUGUGUAGACAUUUGUAAGCUAGUGUUUGAUGCUAGCAUCAUUGCAAAUAGCUUGAAACUGAGCUGAAGUGUACUCAGUGCCAUUGUCUGACCUUAUCGAUUUCAGCUUGCAACCUGUUUCUGUCUCAACAGCCAUUUUAAACUUCACAAACACUUGAGCUACCUCAGACUUGUGUUUCAGAAAGAAAAUCUAGCAAAACCUUGUAAAAUCAUCAAUGAAGAGAAUGAAAUACCUAUUUUUGCUGAGUGAUUCAGUUAUCAUAGGUCCACAUACAUCAGAGUGCACCAGCUGCAGUCUUUAAGUGGCUCUCCAUGCUGAGUUUGUAGGAAAUGGCAGCCUUGCCUGUUUUCCCAUUUGGCACACUUCACACACAUCAUCAUGCUCUACUGAGCUGGUGAAGUUCUCUACCAAGCCUUCUUUGGCCAUUCGAGCCAUUGAUCUGAAGUUGGCAUGCCCGAGCCUUUGAUGCCAAAUGUUAGAAUCAUCAACAGAGGCUGUGUAUGCUAACUUUGAGUCAUUUGGCCAAUGAACCUCAAAGCAUUUAUCAGUCAUUAUGACUGUCAUAAGGCUUGAUCCACUUGGAUCAGUAAUGUGGCACUGUUUGUCAUUGAACACAACAGAGUAGCCUUUCUCUAGCAAUUGAGCUAUGCUGAGAAGGUUUCUAUCAAUCUCAGGCACCAAUAGCACAUUUGGAAUGAUCUUGUUGCCUGUAAAAGUACAUAUCAGCACCUCUCCUCUUCCUUCAGCCCUUAUGAAUUGACCAUUUCCAACCUUGACCUUGGUUUUGCAACUUCUAUCCAAGGUUUUAAACAAGGAGGCAUCUGGUGACAUGUGGUUAGUGCAGCCACUGUCCAAUAACCAGUCUUUUGAACAUUUCUUCUCAGCAGCUAAGCAAGAAACAGCAAAGACCUGCUCUUCUUGGUCACUACUGUCCUCAGCUACUCGAGCUUCAACCUUUGGUUGUUGAAAUUGACUCUGCCUCGGCUUGGUUUUGUUUUUGCAAACCCUUUCAACAUGGCCUUUCUUCUUGCAGUGUUGACAUACUGCAUCUGGCCUGAACCAGCAUCUGUCUUCUGGAUGACCUGGCCUCUUGCAAUGUUUGCAGGGCUGGUCAUUGCUCCUUGCAGCAUCAGGCUUAGGCCUGCUUUUCUAAGGCUUUUUGCCUCUUUGAGCAUUGAUGCUCGAGGCUUCUCUGGCCUUGGCAUGAAAUGCACCUUCCUGGUGAUCUUCAGCUCUGCUAGCUCUUCUUUGUUCCUGAGCAUAAAAAGUGUUAAUAAGCUCGGUCAAAGAGAUGCUAGCUAGGUCUCUUGAGUCCUUUAGGGAGGAUAUCUUGGCCUCAUAUCUCUCAGGCAAACUGGAGAGGACUUUCUCCACUAUUCUUGCCUCAUCAAAGUGCUCACCAAAGAGCCUUAUACUGUUAACCACUACCAUGAUUCUAUCUGCAUACUGCUUCACUGUUUCUUCUUCCUUCAUCUUCAGAUUCUCAAAAUCCCUUCUCAAAUUCAACAGUUGUUGUUGCCUUGUCCUCUCAGUGCCUUGAAACUCCUCCUUAAGCUUGUCCCAGGCCUUUUUUGGAGUCUCACAGGCCAUAAUUCUGGUAAAGAUGACAUCUGACACACAGAUCUGAAUGCAGGACAUGGCUUUGUGCCUUUUGGUCCUCUCAUCAGCAUGUUGCCUGAUCUGAGCUACUGUGGGAUUGGCCCUCAGUGGUGCUGGCUCAGCAUCUGUGUUGACAACUUCCCACAGAUCAAAGGCCUGCAGGUAAGUCUUCAUCUUUACCAGCCAUAUGUGAAAGCCUUCUCCAUUGAAGACUAGUGGGGCUGCUGGUGAAAAUCCUAAAGAAGCCAUCAGGUUCCUUAGUUUGAAGCAACAGGUCCACUAAGACAAGGGCUCUAGAUACCAAUUGUUGGUGCAAGAGGCAGCAGCAAGCUUGUUUCUGCUUUACUUGGACAGCAAGUGUCGAGCAUUCUGAAGAAACUAUCGAAGAAGAAAGGAAGAAAAAAAAAGAAAUUUGCAUUGGAAAACAGAAAAGAAAGAGAUAAAUUUGAAUGAAAAUGAGCUGAAUUUUCAUUAACCACUUCACAAGGCGUAAUGCCAAUACAUAUAUGAGAUAACAACAGCAAAACAAACAAGUUACCACCUAAUAACAUACCUAACACCACUAAAUUGCCUAGUAACUUGGUAAACUUGUUUGAACACAUAAGCAACUACCUAAACUUGUCAUUCAGCACCUAAUUACAUCAAAAUGCAGCUACCAACUAAGUUUAAAACAAACUAAAAUACAAAAUGUUCAUUUGAGUAACCAAAUGAAACAAUGCAGUUUCGGUUUGAUGUUGAAGCACGUUCCCUGCAUGGCCACCUUGCAUGGCCACCUUGGCUGCUGCAUGGGGGCUGACUUCAACAAGCAGACUCACAAAUCUGUUUUAGGAUUGGUUAUGGGCUCAUGCAUUUACCCGAUUAAAAAUGUCUAAGACCCAACAAUAGAAUAAGCACAUUCAUGUUUAGAAGCAGUUAUCUUUGCAGAAGAAAUGGGCUUUGGAGAUGUUUGUAUAGAAGGCAAUGCACUCACAGUCCUAAAAAGAAUCAAAAAAUCAGAGAUUGAUAGAUCAGUUAUAGGCAACAUUAUUAUUGAGAUUACGGAUAAAGUAACCAGGUUUCAAAUUUUUACCUCUCGAUACGUCCUGCGAGCGGCAAAUAGAGCAAUACACGGAAUGGCAGCUUGGGGAACACGGCGUGAAAGGCCGAUCUACUAGGUAGAAGACGUUCCACUGGACGUUGAGGCCAUAGUCACAAAGGAGCAACGAUAGUAAGAGAAGAUUUUUUUUCAUUCUGAGUCUGGAGUGUUUGUUUUCAGUUUUGAAAACUCCAAGGAGCUCAGAAAUCUGCGGAGUUGGGAUGAAAUAAGAGACAUUUGUGAAACGGGUGAGGGUUUCAACUCCCACAGAGGAAUUCCUCCAGUGUGUCGGGAGUGGAUGAUUUUGCAGGGAAGAUUUAGAGGUGCUCAUGGGCCGGGCCGAGCCGGGCCCAUAAAAAAUUUUGGCCCAGGCCCAGCCCGACCCGAAAUACGGGCCUAAAAUUUUGCCCGGGCCGGAUCGGCCCGGCCCAUUUUUUUAAUAAAUACCAAAAAUUUAUUUUAAAAAUAAUAAAAAAGUAUUUUAAAAUUAAAAAAAUUAAAAAAUAAAUAUAUUUAUUAUAUCGGGCCAGGCCGGGCCGGACCCGAGCCAAAAAAGUGGUGCCCGAGGCCCGACCCGUUUUCUAAACGGGCCUCAUUUUUUUGCCCAAGCCCAUAUUUCGAGCCUAUAUUUUUACCCAAACCCUCCCAUAUUUCGGGCGGGCCGGCCCGGCCCAUGAGCACCUCUAGGAAGAUUGAAGGACUUGGGUUUUUUGUUUGCUUUUUGUUUAAAAGUUUUUUGUUUUUUAGGUUUUUCAUUUUAGUGCUUUAAGUUUUCUCAGCCUUUUUAGGGAUACCCGAGGCACCACCCAUUAGCAGCAAUAGGCUUCUGCCAGCUAGCUGGUGGGCUGAAACAUUGCAGGGUUUAGGAUUGUGUUCCAUCCUUUAUUCUUCUAUUUUAAUGAUUUUACUUCAAGUUUUUUUUAAGUAAAUCCCUUCCCAUAUAUAUAUUAUGCAUAUAUUAAAGUUAGUUUCUAAAGGGAAAGAGUUAAUAUUCCAUUUGGUAUGUAGGGUUUUUUUUUAAAAUUUAAUAUAUGAGUUUUACUUCAAUUUGGUAUCCAUACCAAACAAAUGUGCUUAAUGAAUACUUGGCACGUAUGUUCUAGUAAAAAAAUAUAAUUACCCACAAAACGAUCUGAUAAAAUUGUCACCCUGAAUUACCUGACAACGAUGACUCAAGUAUGUAAUUACCACCCAGAUUGCCGAGCAACGAUGGUUUCCAAAUAAUAACUUGACCCUAUGGUACGCCAACUAACUCGGUCCGACAAAUAAUAAGGUAACCAAAUUUCAAUUUCAAUAUACAACCUGAUUCAUGUUUAUUCAUUUUGAUUUUCAUCAUCAGUUUACCAAUUCAAUACAUGUAAUGACCCAUUUUCAGUAAAUCGGAAUAGUGGUUUCGUAACCACAAAUCCGAGUUAGAAAGAAAAUUUAUUUUAAUAUUGUGAUAUGGUCUAUAUUAUGAUAGGAAGGUUGCAUGAAAAUUUUGAUAAUAAAACUUUAUUGAUUAUAUGGUAAAAUUUAUUUAAAUAGAUUAAAUAAAAAUAUACAUUUCCGGGACUUUGUUCCGGUAAAUCAGAUUUGUAAAUAUUUAUUAUAAAUAUUUACUAAGUUAGUUGUGUGUCUAAUUAUGUUUUGACUAGGAGAAUUUGAUGUAAUUAGAAGUAAUUAGGAAAAAGGGAUUAGAUUGAAAUAAGUAUAAAAGUUUAAUUAUAAAUUAAAGAAAGUUAAAAGGACCAAAUAGGCAAUUAUGCCUUUUUCUAUAANNNNNNNNNNNNNNNNNNNNNNNNNNNNNNNNNNNNNNNNNNNNNNNNNNNNNNNNNNNNNNNNNNNNNNNNNNNNNNNNNNNNNNNNNNNNNNNNNNNNNNNNNNNNNNNNNNNNNNNNNNNNNNNNNNNNNNNNNNNNNNNNNNNNNNNNNNNNNNNNNNNNNNNNNNNNNNNNNNNNNNNNNNNNNNNNNNNNNNNNNNNNNNNNNNNNNNNNNNNNNNNNNNNNNNNNNNNNNNNNNNNNNNNNNNNNNNNNNNNNNNNNNNNNNNNNNNNNNNNNNNNNNNNNNNNNNNNNNNNNNNNNNNNNNNNNNNNNNNNNNNNNNNNNNNNNNNNNNNNNNNNNNNNNNNNNNNNNNNNNNNNNNNNNNNNNNNNNNNNNNNNNNNNNNNNNNNNNNNNNNNNNNNNNNNNNNNNNNNNNNNNNNNNNNNNNNNNNNNNNNNNNNNNNNNNNNNNNNNNNNNNNNNNNNNNNNNNNNNNNNNNNNNNNNNNNNNNNNNNNNNNNNNNNNNNNNNNNNNNNNNNNNNNNNNNNNNNNNNNNNNNNNNNNNNNNNNNNNNNNNNNNNNNNNNNNNNNNNNNNNNNNNNNNNNNNNNNNNNNNNNNNNNNNNNNNNNNNNNNNNNNNNNNNNNNNNNNNNNNNNNNNNNNNNNNNNNNNNNNNNNNNNNNNNNNNNNNNNNNNNNNNNNNNNNNNNNNNNNNNNNNNNNNNNNNNNNNNNNNNNNNNNNNNNNNNNNNNNNNNNNNNNNNNNNNNNNNNNNNNNNNNNNNNNNNNNNNNNNNNNNNNNNNNNNNNNNNNNNNNNNNNNNNNNNNNNNNNNNNNNNNNNNNNNNNNNNNNNNNNNNNNNNNNNNNNNNNNNNNNNNNNNNNNNNNNNNNNNNNNNNNNNNNNNNNNNNNNNNNNNNNNNNNNNNNNNNNNNNNNNNNNNNNNNNNNNNNNNNNNNNNNNNNNNNNNNNNNNNNNNNNNNNNNNNNNNNNNNNNNNNNNNNNNNNNNNNNNNNNNNNNNNNNNNNNNNNNNNNNNNNNNNUUUAAUGCCCAAGUAGAUGGAAUUUAGAACUAUCAGGAUAUUAGUGGCAUGCCAUUAAGGAACUUUAGCGCGCUCUCUGAUUAUUAGCACGUUGGUGCUCUCUGAUUAUUAGCACGUUGGUGCUCUCUGAUUUUAGCACGUCAGUGCUCUUUGUUUAGCACACCUGUGCUCUCUGUAUAGCACUUUAGUGCUCUCUGUUCAUUAGUGCAUACCAAUGCACCUCUGUAUUUGUUCCGUAUAUCCGGUGUGUUCUAUAAAAUCUACUUUGGGUUAAGAUUAUGAUUUGUGGAAAAGCGAAUCAUUAAAAUGCUAAGGUAAGUUUUAUGAAGCUUAUACGUACGUAAAUACGUAAUAACAGAAUGAGUUUGACAUAUUUUGUUUAGAUUUAUUUAUUUGUUUAUUCUUGUAGUGCUUACUAAGCCUUCACCGGCUUAACGCGUUUAAUUUUAACGCGUAGGUACAGUUUUACUCGAAGAGGUAAAGUCAGGAUAGAAGAUCUCUCAUCUCAUCACAUCUUCAAGAGCUUCAGAAGUAGGUACCAUAUUUUGAAUUAAAAUGGCAUGUACAUAGACAGUCAGUUAUGCUUCCAUGUGUUAGGAAUUAAAAUGUAAACUCUUGGAUUUCUAUCUAUUUUUAGGUAUUUUACGUAUUUUGGUAUAUAUAUAUAUAUGAAAUGAAUUAGUAAAACUAUAUGUAUGUUUGCAAAUAUGGUUGGUAAGUUAUAAUGCUAUGUAUAAAUGUUUUGUUCAAACAAUAUCUAGCCAUAAUCGUUUUGGUACCAAAUGUAAUAGUCUUAUACCAGGUCUGUAUGGUUAGAUCAGGUAUAGGGUUGUUACAAUACAUAACUUAUAUAUAUAUCAACCGAAUUUCACAUAUCAAGUAAGUCAUAAAAUUUUCUAUUCUAUUCAAUUUAGUCCUUGCUUCGAUAUUCAAUUCAAAUCAUAUCAAUUUAGCUCAAAAAAUUAUCAAUAACUCACCUCCAAUUCCAUAUAAUGUAGAAUGAUAUAAAUAUGAAACAACUAAAUGGUUCCCAAAUCAUAGAAUUACAAACCAAAAAUUUUGAUCUAAUCAAUAGCUUUGGAUUUUCCUUUUCCUCUCGAUGAAUCUAGGUCGACGUUAGUUAUGGAUUAACAUAAACACAUAACACUAUCAAUAAACAACCAAUUCACAAUCAAUUGUCAAUUUAUACAAAAUUUUAAUUUAUUCAAUUCAGUCCCUAAAACUGAGACUAACAUAACUUUCAAUUUAAAACUCCAAAUUAAAAUUUGAUUUCACUAUGGUCCAUUAGAGACCUCCUAUUUCUUAUUUAUAUAAUCAAUUUUACAUUUAAUUCAGUUUAGUCCUUAUAAUCUUGUGUUUGCGAGUAAUUUUAGGGUUGCUUUUGUCGUUGUGCCCUCUAGUUUGGUGGAUGCUCAGUUCUUUUGUCGAUUUAUGCUCACUGUUUUGGACCAUCCGGGGUUGAUUUCCUUAUUGUAUUAAGUGCUUGCAAUCACUCUUUAUGUUGUGCUUGAGUUGUGACAGAGUCGAUUGUCAACGUGCCAUAAUGUUCUAUUGAUGUUGAAGCUAAAGCUUUUGUUAUGUUGAUGGAGCUUGUCCUUUAGCACGUUCAAUGGGUGUUUGUUACUUUUUUCCCCUGAAUUGUAUGGUCUUAUUUAUUGAAUGAAUUAAUAAAUUUCUCUUUAAAAAGAGAAAUAAUUUAUAAUAAAUAAUUAAAUGUAUUAUUUAAAACUAUUUAAUAAUAGCGCAUUAAAUAUGUAUGCUAUUAAAAUGAAAAAAAAAACAAAUUAAAUUGUUUAUCAUAAUAUUGACACUUUUCAUCAAUCUUGAGUCAAUAUCGAGUUAACUUGUGACACCAACUCAGCUAAAUAUAUUAUUAAUAUAUACAAUGAUGGGGGUAAUAAAGUGUGCACAAAAAAAUUAAAAUGUAUAAAAAUAUCAAAUUAAAACUUUAGUUGAGUAGUAAAUAUAAAUUUUAUUAAUGCAAUUAGCAAGAGUUCGAAUCUCACCAUAUACAUAUUUUAUUGGCUUUUUUUAAGUUAAAAGAUUAAAAUAUCCUUGAAUAAUAUUGUUUAGUUUAAUUACAAAAUGACAUUUUCUUAACUUUUUAAUCGAGUUGGUAACCCGAUUAAAGGUGACAUUAACUCAAUCAAGAACUUAGAUAAAUAUUAAUAUAAAAUAUAAUUUUUUGCUAUAAAAUAAAAGGACAAAAAGUAAAGAACAAAGAAAAUGAGAAAGCAAAGAGAGAGCGUAUUUUAUUGAUCAAUUGAAAUAUUUACAAAGUUUCUCCAAAAUUUCUAUUUAUAGACAUAAGAAGUAUAAAUGAAGUAUAGACCUACUUCUAAUGGCUAUAAGAAUUUAAAGUACAUCAAAAAUUAUCUUGAUCUUGAUGGACAUCCACUUAAUAAGAUAUUCAUAACACUCCCCCUUGGAUGUCCAUUGGUAGAUAAUGUGCCUCGUUAAAACUUUACUAAGAUAAAGAUCUUGUGGGAAAAAAUCCUAGUGCAGGAAAAAAGUAAACAUAUCUAAAUGCGUAUAUUAUGUUGCACCAUUAAAAACUUUACCAGAAAAACCCAAUGGGAUAAAACCUCGGUUAAGGGAAAAAUAGUACAAUGCAUAGUUACUCCCCUUCAUAAAAACAUCAUAUACUUUCUCAUAUUCUAUUGAAUUGAAUACUAGUUUUCAAAUGACUAUAUUAAUGAAUUUGCUAAGCAUUUAUAUCACCGUUCUUUUGGAAGUCAUGAGUGGGGAAAAUUUUAGGGGAAAUAUAUUUUGAUCUCUUGAAGAGUUUCAACAAUAAUCAUAACAAACUUUAAUCAUAAUUCCUCUAUAAAAACACAAAUAGGUAUUUUGGAUCAUUUUAUAAUCCUCCUUCAACUACUAUUCGCUGAGUCAAAUUUACCACAUAUGUUCCAAUUAUUUCAAUUCAUAUAAAUGAACAAUUUCCCGACAAUUUCAAUAUGCUUCUAGCAUCCUAAAUCCUUCAAGGAUUUGAAUAUAAAUUUUACUAUAUAGUGGUUCACAAAAAGGUUGUAACAACAACCAUUAGACAUAAGUUAAAUCUUCUAUGAAUUGUCAAAAUAAUAUAUCUAAAAAUUAUUGCAUCCACCACAAAAAAAAUAUUAUUUCUUUUCAUAAUAAAUGCCAGGACUUAGCAAAAAACUUCAUAUUAUAAUUUUGCUUUUGCAAAACUACUUCAUUUGCACCCUCACUGGCUUUAUACCUUGAGAUAUUUGGACUACUGGUCCAAAAACUCCACAAAUUUAAUUGUACUUGAAUUGCAUCUUUCUAUUUUGAUUAAUUUAUUCUAUAUCUAUAUUUCUCAAUAGAUUUAUUCAAGAUCCUCCUUUUGUUUCAUUAUUUCAAUAAUAACAUUGCAUGCAAAAUUAUUGUCAACCACUUUUAUUAUUUGGUUUCACAUUUUCUCGAAUUGGCAUAACUUAUUGAGAUCUAUUAUUUUACUCUUCAAUUUCAGGUACCUGAAUCUCUUCUGGAGUUUUACUUAUUAGUUAUGUCUUGGGUCUCUUUUGGAGCACCUGUCUCCACUAUUUGACCAUCUAGAAGAAUUUUCAUCUUUGGAAUCGAUCAAUCUAUUAUUUAUUCUAACUGAUUGUCCUGCUGGGACUUUGAUUCAAAUUAAAAUAUUAGAUGUUAUAUAAUAUUUGGUUAUUCUUAUUAAGUUUUUAAAUACAUCUGACAGUUAACUUGUAAUGAGUUUUCCUCGUUGAGCUGCUAGUUCAAAUUACGUUCCCCCUAACUCAUUACAAGUUGUUAUUUCUCUCCCCCUCAUGUUGGGAAAACUAUCGAAUCAAAAUAGUAAUCACAAAUCAUGUCAUAAUUGAAUCUCCAAUACAUACAAAGAGACUUGUAAUUAAUAUAUAUUCCCAACUCUAUUUGAGGAUUGACUCAUCUUUUUGCAUUGUGUCGGAGUAAUUGGAAUAUAUACACACAUACAAAAAUUCAAAGAUGAGAAAUAUUUAGCUCUUAAUAAAAAACCAAUCAUAAUGGGAAGUAUUUAUAACUUAUUGGUUUGAUGCGUACAACACGUAAAUCAACAUAAUCUCAUGUUGAAAUAGGAAGUUUAGUUUUCAUAAGUAACGGUUUAGGCAUUAAUCAGAGGCAUUUAAAAAAUAAUUUCUCUAAACUAUUAUGUGCAUAAAUAACAAACUUUUACAAAAGUUUUUCAAACUUCAUCAAUAAAAUACUAAGAUAUAAAUUCAUCAGUAUUAGCAAGAUGAAUUAUCUUAAUUGCAUGAUCUGAAAUUAAUUAUUUAAAUAAACAAUCUUGCAAACGAUAGGUUGCAAGUUGAUAACACAUACGUGAUUAUUUUGUAGAUCCAUCUACCAAAAUCAUAUAAUAUCAAAAUCAUUCACAUAAUGGAUGAAUAGGCCCAUAUUCAUUUCAAAAAUGUAAGACAUUAAAUCUCAACUUUAGCUAGUGAGUUUCUAACAAUCAAUUUUCAUUGAGAACAAGCAUCAAAUGAGAAUUCUUUAAAUUAAAGAAUAUUAUGGUUCUUUAAUAAUAUCAUAUGAAUUCUCAAUUAAUUUUCACAUCAUAUUUGAUCUAGGAUGGUUUAACUAGUCACGCCAAGUAGUACUUGCAUUUGUAUUAGUAAACUUUUAGUUUACUUUAACAUACGUUUCAAUUGUACUAAAUUGUAACAAAUUGAUAAUUUUACUAUCAUUCAUUUUACUUUGUAUCUACAUAUAGGUACUAUCGUGACAUUUACUACUGAAAAUGUCUAAAUCAAUGUGAAGUCUAUAAUGUCACUAAGUCAAUAAAUAUAAUUUUCAAAUAAUUAUAUGCAAUAUUUGCUUCAGGGAAUAUGCCAAAAUCUUGAAAUGAAGGGCAUUUGGUCUAGUGGUAUGAUUCUCGCUUCAAAUGCGAAAAUUCCUGAGUUUGAUUCAAAAUACUUUUAAAACCCUUUUAACAAAAUUUUUGCAUAAUCAGUUAACUACCAAAAAUAACUACCCAGGUCAUGUAUAAAAACAAGUCUAUACUAAAUAUAUCAAUAAACAUCACAUCUCAAGCAUAAAAAUAUGACAUAAUGAAAAACUAGCAAUUUUUUUCAUAAUCAUCAUCAUAAACAUGCAUGGAAUUUAAAUCAAAAUCCAACCAUUCAAGCUCAUAGAACUUUUCAUUUACAAUUGCUCAUGUUAUUUCCCUAAAUAAUUAGCAAAUGAAAUAAUAUAAAACGUAUGAACUACUACCUUUAACAAUUCUUUGAACUAAACCAAAUCUGAAUAACCAUAAAAUUCAUUGGUUUGUUAACAUAAAUUUGCAUACUAGAUAUGUUUUAAUCAAAUAUAUUAUUUAAUUAUAAAACCUACUAUAACGAUAUAAAUAAAUCAAUUAAUUUUCAUUUUCAUGAACAAAUGAGAUGCUUAAAACAAUAUGUAACACAUUUAAUCAAAACUUAAAAAGAAUUACAGUUAUUAUUGUUUGUCCCCAUCCUCGUUGUUUGGUUUCCAAGUUGUGACCCAAAGUCGAGAUUGAUUUGGUUGUUUGGUUUCUAAGUUGUGACCCAAAAUCAAGAUUGCUUUUGAAUUUUUGGUCUGUCUCCAUUGUAAAGCACAUCAAACAAAGAUACAAAUUGAUACAACUAUUCUCAAGUUCAAAUAAAGCAUUAUCUUGUUAGGUAGAGUGAAUAAAAUCACUAAGUUAUUUUUUAUGUCAAUUAAAUUUAUGGUUUUUUUCAAUUAGUUGGAUUGAUUAAAUAUUAAUAAUUUAUAAACACAUUCAUUUAAAUUAAUUUUACACUGUAAUAAAAAGUAAGAUGUUGUUUAAUAAAUCAAAAAAAUUAAGUGAAAAAUAAAAAAAGGUGUUAUUUAAUAAUUCAUAAAUUGUACGAGAGUGAAGUGUUAGAUAUUUUUGGAUAUGUUUAAUGUGCUUGGGUUAGGAUGGAAAUUUCAAAAUUCGAGAAAAUAUAAAUAAUCAAACAUAUAAAUCAAAUCCAACUAAAAAUGCUAGAAAUCUAAUUUAUCAUACUCCUAUUAGAAAAAUAUAGAGAUGACGUGAAAUCACAAUUUCAUACAACCCUUUCUCCUCACAGUGAUUAUUAUUUGUCCCCAUCCUCAUUGUUUAAUUUCCAAGUUGUGACCCAAAAUCAAGAUUGACUUUGAAUUUUUGGCCUUCUGUCUCCAUUGUAAAGCACAUCAAACAAAGAUACAAAUUAAUACAGCUAUUCUCAAGUUCAAAUAAAGUAAUAUCUUGUUAGGUAGAGUGAAUAAAACCACUAAGUUACUUUUUAAGUCAAUUAGAUUUAUGAUUUUUUCUUCAAUUAGUUGGAUUGAUUAAUUUGAUAAAAAAUAAAUAUAAUUUUAAUUUUAAAUAAGUAUUAAAAAUAUUAAUAAUUUAUAAACACAUUCAUUUAAAUUAAUUUUACAUUGUAAUAAAAAGUAAGAUGUUGUUUAAUAAAUAAAAAAAUUAAGUGAAAAAUUAAAAAAAAAAGAUGUUUAAUAAUUAAUGAAUUGUACGAGAGUGAAGCGUUAGAUUUUUUUGGAUAUGUUAAUAAUUAAAAAUAUUGUACGAUGCUUGAAAGUUAUCUGAUACACAUUAUACCAAAUUUCAAUACCACAUAUAUGUUAUAAAAUCUUAUGAUGCUCUAAUCAACUAUUUAUAAAUUCAAUUUAAAAGAUAUUAUACAAUAAUUUCAAGCAUAUUUAAUAACAAUAAUUUAAUCAUACAAACUUUUAAUCAUCCAAAUAUCAUACAUACUAUAAUUUAUUAAAAGAAACUAUAAAUUAAUAAUAUUUUUUUACCAAAAAUCAAUCAACAAAGGAGAAAAACAUACCACUUAAGGAUUAUAUAAUUUUUUCUGUAUAAUAAUUACCCAUAAUGUGCAGGUCCCAAUUGAAGACUGAAAUAACAGUAGCUCUAGAAGGCAAUUGGCAACAGCUUGAGUAGCAAAUUUGAGUGACCGACUAUUGCAUUGGUUGUUGCUUGAAAGGGGUAAGGCUUUGUGAAAGGGAAAAAAAUUGUGACUUAUGGAGAAAAACAAUUAAAAGAAAAUUGUGCUAAUAACGUGUUAUAAAAUAAAAGGACAGAAAGUAAAUAACAAAUAAAAUGAGAAAGCAAAGAAAGCAUAUUUUAUUGAUCAAUCGAAAUAUUUACAAAGUUUCUUUAAAGUCUCUAUUUAUAGGCAUAAGAAGUAUAAAUAAAGUAGAGAUCCACUUCUAAUGACUAUAAGAAUUUAAAGUACAUCAAAACUUAUCUUAAUCUUAAUUGACAUCCACUUAAUAAGAUAUUCAUAACAAUUUUAUUAUUUUAUAAACAAUAAUAUAAGCUUUUUAGACAAAUUGAGUCGAGUUUAAACUUAACCUAAAUUUAAAAAAAAAAAAAAGAGUCUAGGCCCAAUUUAGCUCAUGAAUAUCUUUAAUGGUUAAUUAAUUAUUUAUUUUAAUGAGUUUAUCUAAAUGUAUUUUAGUUUAUUAAUUUGAGUUUAGUGAUUCAAUGUAAUUUUUUUUAUAACUUUUAAUACAACUAUAAGAUGUAACUUAAAAAAUAUAUAUAAUUAUAAAUAUAAUUAUCAUCAAUUACUUACUAAUAUGUUAUUUUGUUGUUCAUUAUUUACCAUUAAUUUUUUCAUAAUUUAAUAGUGUUUUCUAUUUAAAUAUUUUUUAAAAAUAUUUAUUAUAAAAUGCUUUUUGGAAAGUUAUCUUAUAGAAUAUAUUUUUUUUUACCUCGACACCGAUAGAUGUCGAAUUUAGUGAUGUUUAUUGUACCACCAAGUUUUUGUGUCAUUGGAAUUAGAGUAAUUAUUUUGAAAUUAUUACAACACAUUAACACCCAGAAUCUUAAACCGUAAUAAUAUGAUUUAAUUUUCUAAUAGCUUUGGAUAAUAUUUAAACAAAACUCGACAUUUAUGGAUGUUGAAUUUUUUUGUAAAAUAAAAAAAAACAUAUAUAGUAAUUCGUAACCAUUAAUUAAAAAGGAGACACAAAAAUUAAUUGAUCUCGCUGCCCACGAGUAUAUUUAAAAAAAUACUAAUAAAACUCUAAUUUUAAAACCUAUAAAUAUGCUAUUCAACUUAUUAAUUUAAGAAAAUGCAAAAUAGUUAUCAUUUAUAUAACUAAAUUAAAAUGAUUUUAAUUUUCAUAAAAAAAUAUAUAAUUUAAUUAUGCCUUUUCAAAAAACAAAUUCUUACAUCACCCUCAUUCCAACUAAAAAAAUUACCCGAAUAUAAAAAAACAAAAAAGGAUAAUCAAAGGAGGAAAGUUGUAUAAAAUGUAUGUGGUAGCGGGGAAGAUAAUGGUGGUGACGUUGAGGGGUUAUAUAUUUAUAAUUUUAAUUUAAAUUUUACUAUUUAAUUUUUUAUUUUACAUUUCGUUAAUUAAAUGAAUUAAAUAAGAUCAUUUUUUCUAUUAAUUUUCAGUUUUUUUAAAAUUCAAAUCCAAUUAAAAAUACUAAAAAUCCGAUUUAUCAUCUUCCUAUUAGAAAGGAAUAGUGAUGACGCGAAAUCACAAUUUCAUACUUUUCCUUACAGUUAUUGUUGUUUGUCCCCAUCCUCGUUGUUUGGUUUCCAAGUUGUGACCCAAAGUCAAGAUUGAUUUGGUUGUUUGGUUUUCAAGUUGUGACCCAAAGUCAAGAUUGAUUUUAAAAUUUUGGUCUGUCUCCAUUGUAAAGCACAUCAAACAAAGAUAGAAAUUGAUACAACUAUUCUCAAGUUAAAAUAAAGCAUUUUCUUGUUAGGUAGAGUGAAUAAAAUCACUAAGUUAUUCGGUUAAUUGAAUUAACCGAAAAUUAUAUGUUUUUUUUAUUUUUAGUUAAAAAUUAAUCGAACUAACCGAAUUAACCGAAUUACCCAAAUUAACCAAAUUAUCCGAAUUAAUCGAAUUAACCGAAUUGAAUCACUACAUAAUUAAAUUAUUUUUAGACUUUUAGACUUUAGUUUUAAUUUUAGUUUUAGAAUUUUAUUUUUAUUUAUUAAAUUAUUUGUAAUUUUUAUGAUUGAGUUGGGUUGGGUUGGGUAAUUGGGUUGGGUUGAAUACUUGGAUUUGGAUUGGGUUUAGAUGAAUAGUGGGCCUAUUUAUAUAUUAUAAUUUUAUUUAUUAAUUUUUUCGGUUAAACCGAAAAAAUUUGGUUAACCGACUGAUUUUGAACCAAAUUAACCGUUAACCGAAAAAUCAAAAAAUAAUUAACCGACCUCCGACCAAAAAAAUUCGGUUAACCGACUGAUUAACCGAAUUCGGUCGGUUAACCAAAUUUUUUUGAUUUUAUCCAAAUUUUGCACACCCUUAGUUUAAUGUACUUGUGUUGUUGUUGUUUCGACACCAUAAUCAAUUCACUUUUGCUUCAUCCAUAAUAAUUGUGCACAACUCUCAAGUACAAAACUUAAACCGUGGAUUAUGAGAUAGAACUUUAUCUUUGUUUUUUGUGGGCAAAUAACCAAUAAAAGCUCCUUUAUUUUUAAAAUUAUCGAAAUGGGCCAGGUUCUGAAUUAAUUACCGAAAUGGACCAUUUCUCCCAAAAACGCGUCCAUGUCAGCGCGUUGUCAAGGGAUAAAGCAGGAAAAUGCUUCCUCAAGGAAAAAAAAUUAGAUUUAGGUUUUUGCAAUUAGAUUUAGGGUUUUAAGGUUUUUGAGUUUGUAGAUUUUAGGGUUUUAAAGAAAAAAAUUAAAUAAAUAAGGGUCUAGGGUUUCUUAAUUAAAUUAAUUAUAAAUUUUAAAAAAAUUAGAUUAGGGUUUAGUGUUUAUGGUUUUUAAGAAAAAAUUAAAUAAAUUAGGGUUUAGGGUUACUUGAGUAAAUUAAUUAUAAAUUUUAAAAAAAUUAGAUUAGGGUUUAGUGUUCAGGGUUUUUAAUGAAAAAUCAAAUAAAUUAGGGUUUAGGAUUACUUGAGUAAAUUAAUUAUAAAUUUUAAAAAAAUUAGAUUGGGGUUUAGUAUUUAGGGUUUUUAAGAAAAAAUCAAAUAAAAUUAGUUGUUAUUCGUUAUAUAUUUUAAACUCUGGCCCAUUUCGGUAAUUUUAAAAAUAAAGGGGCUUUUAUUGGUUAUUUGCCCAAAAAAUAAACUAAUAAAAUUAAAUGUUUUUAGUAAAAAUUAAAUUUAUUAAAAGAAUUUUUUAAUAAUAAAUUAAAAAUAAAAUAUAUAAUGAAUUUUUGUAUUUUCAAAUUUUAAAAUAAAAAAAAGUUUUUUAUGAAAAACAUAAAAAGAGUUAAAACUUUAUAUAUAUAUUAAAUUUAUCUUUUGCUGUAAUUUUAAAUUUAUAAUAAAUAAUAAAUAUUAAUAUAAUAUAAUAUGCAAAAAAUACAUGAAAUUUAAUAUAAUACAAUCAUAUUAAUAAUAGAAUAUUUUAGGGAUAAUAAUUCCUUAAUUAAGGUCUUAAGAUCAUGGGUAAAUAUUUUAUUGAUUGUUAGUGAAUGAUUUAUAAAUAAGUAUUAAUAACUUUAUUUAAUGGAAUUUAACAUAAAUUUUAAUAUUUUAAUAUUUAAUAUAUAUUUUAAAUUGUAGAAGUUUAAAUUAAAAAUUCGAGAAAAAAUAUAAUAAUUGUAAUUAAUAUUUAACUAUAUUUAAACAAAGUUAGACUUAAUAAAUAAUUUUUAAUUAAUUUUUAAUUUGUUAAAAUUUAUAAUUAAUUUAAUUAAGAAACCCUAAACCUUAAACUCUUAUUUAUUUAGUUUUUUCCUUAAAACCCUAAAAUCUAAAAACUCAAAAAUCCCAAAACCUUAACUCUAAUUACAAAAAACCCUAAAUCCUAAAAAACAAGGAAAGCGCUUCCUUGAGGAAGCAUUUUCUGUCCACGUGGACAAAGCGCUUCCUUGAGGAAGCGUUUUCCUGCUUUAUCCUCUGACAACGCGCUGACGUGGACGAGUUUUUGUGGGAAAUGGUCCAUUUCGGUAAUUAAUUCAGAACCUGGCCAAUUUCGGUAAUUUUAAAAAUAAAGGGGCUUUUAUUGGUUAUUUGCCCGUUUUUUGUAGUGCUAUGAAAUUUAGCUUAAUAGAUAAUAGCAAAUUUGUGGAAAUACAAAAACUUAGCUUAACAUAUUUAAUGACUAGUGAUUGGGUUAGGAUAGAAAUUUCAAAAUUCGAGAAAAUAUAAAUAAUCAAACAUAUAAAUCAAAUCAUGCAUUCUAAGGCAUAAAUAAUAAACAAGUUCUCGAUGAUGUGGUAUUUAAUAUCUAUCAAUUUUGUACGAGAGUAAAGCAAGUAUAAAGACUAAAAAAUGAUUAAAUUAAAGUAAAAAACUAAAUCUACAACUUGUACCAACGAAAGAUUUUUUGAUUAGGUGAGGGAUACAGCUGGACCCGUUAUCUAGUGGCUGUCCAUGGUGUGAUAGAGUUAAAGAAAAUGUUAAUCAUUUGUCUUUUCUAUGUCCUUUUAUUAAUAUGUAGUUUUUGGUCUCGUAUUUCUAAUUGAUAGAGUUUUGAUUGGAAGAAUGUGGUGAAUUUUGAAGAAUUCUUUACUUUGUACUGGAACAUGCCCCUGAUAGGUCUGCAAAAAAGCUUUCGGUUAGUGGCGAUUGCGGCAUCUUGUUGGAUAGAAGAUAUCAGAUCUUGUCUUCCUGUAUUGGCAGUGAAGUAGAUCGAAGAUAGCAGGUCUUGUCUUCUUGUAUUGGUAGCGAAGUAGAUCGAAGAUAGCAAAUCUUGUCUUCCUGUAUUGGCAUGGAAGUAGAUCGAAGAUAGCAGAUCUUGUCUUCCUGUAUUGGCAGGGAAGUAGAUCGAAGAUAGCAGAUCUUGUCUUCCUGUAUUAGCAGCGAAGUAGAUUGAAGAUAGCAAAUCUUGUCUUCCUGUAUUGGCAGCAAAGUAGAUUGAAGAUUGUAGAUCAUGUCUCCCUAAGCAGUAGUGGAGCAGAUCGAAGAUGAUAAAUCUUAUCUUCCCAAGGUAGUAGGGAAGCAGAUUUAAGCCACCAGUCCUAUCUCCCUGAGUAGCAGUGGAGUAGGUUGAAGAUUGUAAAUCAUGUCUCCCUAAGCAGUAGUGGAGCAGAUGGAAGGCAGCAAAUCCUAUCUUCCCAAGGUAGUAGGGAAGCAGAUUUAAGCCACCAAUCCCUUCUCCCUGAGCAGCAGUGGAGUAGGUCGAAGAUUGUAGAUCAUGUAUCCUUAAACAGUAAUAGAGCAGAUCGAAGGCAGUGAAUCUUAUCUCUUUGGCGUUACAGUAGAACAGAUUAAAGCUCAAGGUAGCGAAUCUUGUUUCCAUAGCGUUGCAGCGGAGCAGAUCAAGACUGAAGAUAACCAACCUUAUCUCCCUGAAGUUACAGUGGAGCCGGUUGAAGAUAUCAAUCUUAUCUCCCUGAAGUUGCAGUGGAGUAGGUUAAACGAAGUGAGCCUUAUCUCCCCGAAGCUCCAGUGGGUCAAGAAGAGGCUACUUGAAGAAGAAGCGCACCAAUGUCCAACACAACCGGACAAAAUUGGCCUUCUAAUUUAGUCUUUGCUUCAUUUUCGUUACACGACAAUGAGCAAAGAGGGGCAGCUGUAAUAGGCCAAUUUAGCCCGGGCUCACAAAAAAAUAAUAAACUCAAAAUAAUAAAACAAAGUCCAAGUCUAGUCCAACAUUGUAUCAUUUGGCCCGAUCGGAAUGACCCAUUACUUGAAAAAGGAUAUGCAAUCUUAGAUAUGAUAUGCAAUCUUAGAUAAGAUAUGCAAUCUUAGAAGAUAAUAUUUUGUAAUCUUAGAUAUUUAAUUUGUAGAUACCCUUUAAAUCUUAGCCGUUGAUGUAAUUGAUCUAUACCGUUGGAUUUGGGGAGGCUCAACUAUAAAUAGAGACCUUUCCUUCAUUGUAAAACACUGGAGUUGGAAGCAAUAAUAAUUCUUAAGAGCAUUCACUCAAAUUUCUCCUUCUCUUGCGUUCUUAUUUUAUGUGGCUUGUUCUUAUUUUGUUUUUCGUUCAUCUUUGUUUCAUUUUAAGUUGCUUUCAUUUGAGUUGGAUUUUGGUGGAAGAAUUUCGUUGAAUCUUCAUAUUGUGGGAGUAAGGCUGACUUAAGCGUUUUUUUUAACAUUUUUUAUUUAUCCAUUUAAUUGUUUAAUCAUUAAUUAUUCUUUUACUUUUAUUCGUUUAUUUAUCCAUCAACUUUCUUAUUUACAUAUCGUUCAUCCAUUUAACCAUUCUUAUCAUUCUUUUAUUUUUUUCCAUUAAUUAUAUACUUUAUUUGUUUUUAAUAUUAUGUCACACAUGUUGUUUAUUUUUUAAAAACUCGUGUUAUAAAUCAUCUAUUUUAAAUUGUUUGAUUAUUUGCUUUAAAUUUCUUUCCAUAUAUUAUCAAUUGCAAUUUAUUUUUUAUACUAUCUAUUUUUUCCAUAUUUUGGCCCUCAGUUUUGUUUUAUUCUCAUUUUUUCCUUUUAAUUCUAUUUUAAAUUCAAUUUAAUCCUCACUAGUUUGAUUUAUUUUGCUUGUGUUUUAUUUAUUUAAGUAUUGAUUAUUAUGAUUUUUAAAAUUUUAAAUCUGAUAUUAUUUGAAUGUUUAUACUUAUUAUUAUUAAAUUAAUCAUUAAUAUUAUCUAAGUGUAUUGUAUAUUAUUAUUUUAGAUUUAUCAUGUUUUGUUAUUUGUAAUUUAUCAAUAUUAUUAUUUUAAAUUCAUUGUUAACAUUACUUUAAAUUUAUCUUGUAUAUCUAUUUCAAAUUUAUCAUUAAUAUUUUUAAAUUUAGUAUAUACUAUUAUUUUGGAUUUAUCACGUAUGAUUAUCCUAGAAUUAUCAUCAAAAUUUUUAAAUUUUAUAUGUAUUAUUAUUUCAAAUUUAUUAUAUAUUAUUUAUUGUAAAUUAUCCAAUUCAUUUCAAAUUGUAGAUAUUAUUUGUUUUAAUUCAUGUAUUGUUUUAAACUUCAUCCAUAUACAUACUAUUUAUUUUGGAUUAUGCAUAUUACUUAUUUUCUAAAUUAUUUUUAUUAUUUUUCUAUAUAAUGUAUAUUCUAAUUUUUCUUCAUAUUUCAUUUGCUUAAAUAUUUUUGUAUAUUUUGUUUUAUUAGUUGUUUUAAAUAAUUUAUUAAAUGAUUUAUUUCAAUUCAUGUCAUGUAUUCAUUUUAUCUUAAUUAAUUGAUUUGCAUAAUAGAUUUUUUUAGCAUAUUACUUACUUCAUGUUGUUUCAUUUAUGUACCAUUUCUUUGGAAUUAAGUUAGUUUUAUAUAUUAUUUCGAGUUCGAUAAUUAUUAUGUGUGUUUGGGGUUUGUACGCGCAUAUUGUUUAGUAUUUUGCCCAUGUAUAUUAUUCCAUGUUCAUACAUUUACUUUUCAGUUCCGAACAUUACAUCAUGGUUAAUUUGAUUAUUUCAUUUCUUUUCAUUUCGAAUAAAUCAAAUUUAUAUCAUUGUUAAUAUUGCAUUAAACCUUCGCUUUAAUCCAAUUUCGUAAAAAAAGGGAAAAAGAAGUUUGCAAUAUGUCGUCUUUGGAACGAUGAGAAAUCGUGCUCUAACUUACAGUGUUUCGAUCUUUCUCAUCGAACUAAAACGGCUAAAUAUCUUAGUUUUCAAAUAUACAAAGUUUCAAUAAAGAUUUUUUAGCUUACGCUCGGGAAUUGAAAUGUUGCAUCCUAACUUACGGGAUACAACAUUUUGUCGUCUCGGGAUGAGAAGGCUUUUUUACAUUCGUUUAAAUUUAUCCAAGUACUAUUUUAAGAUAUGUUAUUAAUAAAGGGGGAUUGUUUUUAAUCUUUUCAAAUUUACGACAUUCGACUAUAAGACAUUAAUAAUAAAUUAGGUACCAAUUUUGGGCGUUAUGAGGGUGCUAACCCUUCCACGUGCGUAACCGACUCCUGAACCUAUUUUCUCAAAAUUCGUAGACCUAAAAUCGUUUUCAAGGUGAUCCAAUCACACCUCAAUAAAAGAUCGGUGGCGACUCCAUUUUUUCGUUUUAAAAGUAGACCCCGUUUUUUCAAAAUAAAAAAUGGUUUCGACAAGUAGUAUUUUGAUUAUGUUUUUAUAGAUGUAAUUUAGUAUUACUUUAUUCUUUAGCCAAAAAAGAUUUUUUUUAUAAUUUAAUUAAAAUUUACUAUUAUGAUUCAAUCUGGUGUAGCUUCUAGAGAUGACAAUAAAGUCGGGUGAGAGCAGAUAUUGCUAAACCUAUUACCACUCCAUCAUUUGCAUGUUGUAUAAAUCCAUCUAAUCCCAUCCCGUCCCAUCCCACCCUGCAUUAUCGUAACUGCUUCGUACUUAUUACCCAAAAGAAAAAAUCCACCCCGUUCAGCCCUGCAUCCACUUUUCAAACAAAAAAAAAAUCUAUUUCAUUCGAAGCGAAGCAUUUCAAAAUCUAUUGGACAAUUUGAGUUGUCAUACCUAAUAACUUCAAUCUGAGUUCAUAAUUGAAUACUGAGUUUAGAUGGUAAUUUGUUUUCCAAACUUUUUGAUGUCGUGUUCUUCGACAUGCCUAUGAACCACUUAUUUAUACUAUGUGAUGUAGUUUUAAAACCGUUUCUUUUUUUAUUUAUUUAUCCGUUAUUUAUUUGGUGUAAGCGAAAAAUAUUUUAUGGGUUUGUGUUUUUAAAAAAAGAGUCAAAUUUCAUCAAUUAUUUUUUAAUCACCAUUAUCAAAUGUGUUUAUUAAUUUAGCGUAAAUAUUUUUCAUAUUUAUCAUUAAAUAUUAUUAUAAUUGUUUCAUGUUAUUUUACUUAUUUUUCAUAUUUUUCAACUUAAUAUUAUAAUUUACUAUAGGUAACAAUAAUUAAAAAUACAUUAUUUAAAAUUAAUUAAAAAUUAAAUACGUAAAAUCAUAGGCAUGUGACAUUAGAAAUUACUUUAAAAAUAUAUAUCAAACUAAUUUUAUAAUUUAAUUUUUUUUAACACUUACUCUCUUUUUUUUUUUAAUUUAUCAACCAAUUUUUAAGUCUAACCUAAUUCAAACCAAGGAAACUUACUUGGAUUUUAUGUUGGGAAUUAAAUAAAAAAGAGAUAAAUAUUUUUCACUUCAAACUUAUUCAGUUUAAUUACCAAAACUCCAAAAUAUUUUUUUGAAGACACCCAAAAAAACCCCUCUAUAAAAAAUAAGGAUAAUUUGUGAUAUUUUUCCUCUUAAAUGAUGUUAUUUAUAUUUUCAAUUAUAUUAAUUAUAUUUUAUUUUAUUUAUUAUUGAUUUAGAGAAUAAUUAGAGAUAAAAAAAAGCUUAAAGUUUAUUUUUGACAAGUUUUGCGGGUUGGACUUUCAACAUUUACAAUACAGUUUCAGUAUUUUGGCAAUAACUUAAGCUACAAAUUUUAGUUUUGGGCUCAUAAUAUAUAGAUUUGAAGAAAAUUGACAUAACUAACUAAAGUUGUUUUGCAGAUGAAGCCCAAAAACAUCAGGAAGACAUCAAAAAAUGUCCUAGAAGUUUGACGGAAAAAUUGCCAAAAUAUCUUGAAAACUUUUGCUUUAUAUAAUUAAUGGCACUUUUGUACUUUCUCUAUUAUAUUAUUUUUUCCCUAUAGAUAGACAUUAUUAGGUUAAGACGAGGGGAGACCUAAACCUAGCCAUUCUUAGUUUUAUUUUGUUUUCUUUAUUUUGUGGCUUUUUAAACUCUCCAUCUAGUCGAAGGUUUUAUCAAAUUUUGAUUUAAUAAAUUUGUGAGACUUAAUUUUUACUUUAAUUUUUCUUUGUUCUUUAGUAUUCAUGCAUUUUUUGUUUUAAUUACAACUUUUCAGGUUUAUUGAAUGUUCAGUCGGUAUUUGAUAGCCUAUAAUGAUUGUUUUGUCAAUUAGAAUUGUUAAACCCAUAAUUGUAUAAUUCAUUCUAAUACUAGUGACAAACUGCAUAAUUCGUUUGUGUAGUUUAUGUUUAUGUGGUGUGAAUGUGUGAUAUAGCUAAAAUGAAUCUCACUAGGAUGAGUUUGUUGGUUAGAAUUUGGACUCUCUCGUUCUUAAUACUGGCGGUAAGUUAAAUCUGGGGCGUUGAGUUACAGGGUUAUUUAUCGAUUAGGAAAUAAUUUCAAACGAGUUUUCUCUUGGCUAUCGAACAAUGAGAGAUUGGUUGUCCGACACUGAGUCAAUAACUAGAACUAAUUUAUUAAAGGUAUUGAAGUUAUUUUUGCAUUGAUGAUCGAAUCUUUGAAUCAAACGAAGAUUUUAGUACUUCUAGAGUUUCUUCUCAUUAAUUUUCUUUUCUUUUGUUUUAUAAUUUAUUUUUACUUUGUUUUAAUUUUAAUUUUUAAUUUUAAACUCUUUUUAUAUUUUUCAUGUAAAUUUUUGUUUUUAUAAAUCGCUACAUCCUUGCAUUACUUCAAUACAACACCAGAAGAACAAAAUGUCAAACACUGACGCUUAUAGAUAAAAAUCUUGCAAAAGAGGCCGUUUUAUUUUAUCAUAAAAUUAUUCAUGAAAUAGCCAUACAUGGCAAUUACAUAAGCUUGAAGGCCUUAAAACACAGAGACAUACGAUCGUAAUACGCAAACACACACACAGACGAUAGUAAUAAGCAAACACACACAGACGCAGUAAUGAAGGCUAACUUCAACUUCGUAGUAGUGCACACCGAUGGAGCACAUUAUUAUUUAGUUUACAGUUUCGACCUCUAGUGAUCGAAAACCCUGGUUCAAAGCCGGCAGCUUACGCACCCGUAGUGGUGUUGGGUUGGUUGCCAAGAAAAGCUGCAUCAGCAUUCUCAUCAGUGCAAUAAAGGCAAGGGUGCUGCUGUCCACAUCCUAGCUUUAUUAUUUCAUUCCUGACCUUCACCACAAGUUCUCUAUUGGUUAAUGCAUCAUUGCUCUCCCUGAUGACCUUCAGAACUGUAUAGGUAAAGGCCCCAAACCCCAUUCCUCCGGUUUUGUCACUCGCUCCCAUAUCACUCGAUUCCUCAUUGGCUUGGCACCCACUUAACAGAAUUCCCUCAUCCUCCGUCAGUGACCUCAAAUUCACAAUAUCACGUUCAUCAUGGGGUAGGAAUUUGAGACUCACAUUGUUCCCAAAGAUUGUGGUCAAAAUAGAGCCAAUACCCUCCAUAUUACCUGUUCCAGUGUUGAUGGCAUUCCCAAGUGCUCUUGUGGGAAAUAAGCUUUGUGUCGCGAUUAUGACGUUGGCUACUGUUUGUAGGCACUGGUAUAAGGUUCCUAAGGAAAUGCCCCUAGUCUUGUAAUCAACAGGUAGUGCUAUACCCCUUAGAGUACUAUGGGGUCCAAUUUGUUCUUUACUUUUAUCAAUCAGACCACCACUGUGGCAGGAAUCCGAAACCAUUGUGAAGCUUGAUCCACUUGGUAGUUGCUUAAUCAAUUGCCCCAAGUCCACGUCUGCACAACCAUCGCAACCACAAUAUGAUAUAAAUAACAGUUUGCUUAGAUUGAGAGAAUUUUAAUAAUUUAAUUUACCGAGUUGAUUACGUACCAAAAAUGGGAUUGAAAUCACAAGGCACAAUUGCUUCACCCUUGUUGGAAGGCUGGUGGUGGUCAAUGCGGUCCACAAUUCCAUGUCCACUAAAGUGGAAAAGCAGGACAUCUCCUUCUUUAGCCGCGUCCACCAUCUUCUUGAGUGCAGCCAUAAUGUUUGCCCGUGUAGGCUUAUACUUGGACUCUGGUUCAUCAGUUAGGAGCUCAACAUUUUCGGAAUCAAAGCCAAACCUGCUCAAGAUCAUAUCUCUCAUGGCUUUCGCAUCGUUUACGCAUCCGCUCAACUCUUUGAAGGUGUUGGGGUAGUUGCAUCCGACCAGAACGGCUCUCUUCUUACAUUCGGUGGCCAUCUUGCUUCUAAUUUGGGUCGCUU
rnacentral:lncRNA from 1 species